UUUUUUUUUUUUUUUUGUGACAGAAGAUUAAAAUUAUUUGCUAUAAGUAUAUAUUUCAUAGCAAAUUAUUUAUAACAUCACAGCUAAAACAUAAUUUGUUUUGUAGCUAUAUGGGUUAGUCCUUAAUGCCGAACCAUGUAAAGUCUGUAGCUAACUAUUAGUUACGCCACUUCUUGCUACAGAUGCUAUGAAAAAAUAAUUGUGGCUAAAGUAUUUAGCUACGAAACUUUUCAUAUUUAGCAACAAUAUAUUUAAUAGCUGUAUAUGUAUUUUGUUGUAGUGUAGGGAACCAAUUACUAUCAAGUAUAUAUCCAUAGAACAAAUUGAGAACAACUUGUGGCAAAGCAGAAGCUUUCAUAAGUUUGAGGGUUGACAAUAUAACAACACACUCAAAUGUGAAGCUUGUUAAAUUAUGAGUAUCUAGUUCACCAUCUAUCAAAUCUAAGCGUCACCUAGUGAAAGAUACUCAAGCCGGUCACUUAAGAGAUUGACUGCCGGCAAAUUAAAGUAAUCAGGUAAGGAAAAACCUUCAAGGUUGGGAUGAUUGUAAAGAAGGUUUCUAGCCAUCCGCCAGUGACAUUCACAUCGACGAGAUACAAAUUUUUCAAGGCCUUGCAAGAAGUUAUUUUAGUUACUUAUAUAUAUUCCAGUGACAACUUUUAAUAUAAAAACGUUCAAGAUUUGGUGCUAUGAUAUCAACCAUCUUGAAUUCAACAAGACAGAGUAGCCAAACCAUCUCCAGUUUCCGUAAAAGUUGCAACAAUUUGCAAACUGGCUAGUCCAAGACAACAAGAUAAACUUAAAUCCUCCAAACCAGUGCAGCUUGCACAUAAAGUUUAAACAAAUUGUUCAUCCAGAUAUGUAUGAGACAAUCUUAGUUAAAUUUCAUAAGAUAAAAAGUUUAUGCCAUCAGGGAGUGAUUCCAACUUAAAUCCAUGAAAAUCAAGAACUUUUAGUGCCUGUUUGGGAUUGACUUAUUUUUAGAAAAAAUCACUUUUUAAAAAAAGAAGGUGUUUGGUAAACUUGAAAAAGUUCUUUUAAAAAUAGGCAGAAGCAGUUUUUCUGCUUUGGGAAGAAGCAGAAAAUUUCUGCUUUUAAAAAAAAAAAGCAGAAGUAGAAGCAGAAAAUUAUUUUUUUAUGACAAAUAUUCAUAUCACACACACAAAUAUAUAUAUAUAUAUAUAUAUAUAUAUAUANNNNNNNNNNNNNNNNNNNNNNNNNNNNNNNNNNNNNNNNNNNNNNNNNNNNNNNNNNNNNNNNNNNNNNNNNNNNNNNNNNNNNNNNNNNNNNNNNNNNNNNNNNNNNNNNNNNNNNNNNNNNNNNNNNNNNNNNNNNNNNNNNNNNNNNNNNNNNNNNNNNNNNNNNNNNNNNNNNNNNNNNNNNNNNNNNNNNNNNNNNNNNNNNNNNNNNNNNNNNNNNNNNNNNNNNNNNNNNNNNNNNNNNNNNNNNNNNNNNNNNNNNNNNNNNNNNNNNNNNNNNNNNNNNNNNNNNNNNNNNNNNNNNNNNNNNNNNNNNNNNNNNNNNNNNNNNNNNNNNNNNNNNNNNNNNNNNNNNNNNNNNNNNNNNNNNNNNNNNNNNNNNNNNNNNNNNNNNNNNNNNNNNNNNNNNNNNNNNNNNNNNNNNNNNNNNNNNNNNNNNNNNNNNNNNNNNNNNNNNNNNNNNNNNNNNNNNNNNNNNNNNNNNNNNNNNNNNNNNNNNNNNNNNNNNNNNNNNNNNNNNNNNNNNNNNNNNNNNNNNNNNNNNNNNNNNNNNNNNNNNNNNNNNNNNNNNNNNNNNNNNNNNNNNNNNNNNNNNNNNNNNNNNNNNNNNNNNNNNNNNNNNNNNNNNNNNNNNNNNNNNNNNNNNNNNNNNNNNNNNNNNNNNNNNNNNNNNNNNNNNNNNNNNNNNNNNNNNNNNNNNNNNNNNNNNNNNNNNNNNNNNNNNNNNNNNNNNNNNNNNNNNNNNNNNNNNNNNNNNNNNNNNNNNNNNNNNNNNNNNNNNNNNNNNNNNNNNNNNNNNNNNNNNNNNNNNNNNNNNNNNNNNNNNNNNNNNNNNNNNNNNNNNNNNNNNNNNNNNNNNNNNNNNNNNNNNNNNNNNNNNNNNNNNNNNNNNNNNNNNNNNNNNNNNNNNNNNNNNNNNNNNNNNNNNNNNNNNNNNNNNNNNNNNNNNNNNNNNNNNNNNNNNNNNNNNNNNNNNNNNNNNNNNNNNNNNNNNNNNNNNNNNNNNNNNNNNNNNNNNNNNNNNNNNNNNNNNNNNNNNNNNNNNNNNNNNACCGCCCGAAUCAAGUAAGCUGAGGCGUACUCGAGCUAGGACCUGCACCGAAAGGGCGCAGUAGGCAUGAGUACUGUCCACUUGUACUCAGUAGGUAUCAUAGGCCGACUAAGCAAAGUAGUAAAUAAGACAUACAAAAUAUACACUAAGGGCACGUCACCUGCAAUCAGAAAAUGUCCCACAACGGUAACCCACACCGCUUGUACUAACAAUUCUAAUAUCUCACAUAUAUUGCAAAAACACAUCAAGAUAUAGAACACAAGUAUAGAUUAUGUCAUCUAUAAAAUAGAGCAAGAGAGAACGUGUAGAUACAAGAUCAUCAAAUACAAGUAAAGAAAGGUAAGACUAUCUUUUAUUAUUAAUGAUAACAAUUGAUAGAUAGAUGACGUUACAAGAUUGUAUUUUGAUAGCACAUGUAAAUUUUUUCUUGAAUAUUUAAUUUUAAAUAAAUAAUUCGUGAAAAGUGACAUAUUUAUUAUAAUAUAGUGUGUAUAUGUCACGGCCCCAAAACGAGGGUCAUGAUAGCACUUGUCGCGGUGUACCUUGACAAGUAAGCCUAUCACCCAAACUGAUACGAAUAGAGAAAAAGACAGAAAUACCCAAGGUAAGGCUUCUAGAAUGAAGCCGAACCAUAUAAAUAAUCAUAACAAUGCGGAAAGAACUUAUCCAAAACACCAAUCAUGCCCAAAACCAGGUGUCAAUAGUGUAAGAACUACUAAUACAAUUCAAGAGUCAAAUACAUCGAAAAAAUAACCAUAAAGGAAUAAUAACUGUCUCCGAAAACUAAUAAAGACAUAACUAGUAUAGAAAGAUAGGGGUGAAAUUUGGACGCAUGAAUGUCCAACCGCUAUCUUGGAAGAUCCAACAACCGCCCGAAUCAAGUAAGCUGAGGCGUACUCGAGCUAGGACCUGCACCGAAAGGGCGCAGUAGGCAUGAGUACUGUCCACUUGUACUCAGUAGGUAUCAUAGGCCGACUAAGCAAAGUAGUAAAUAAGACAUACAAAAUAUACACUAAGGGCACGUCACCUGCAAUCAGAAAAUGUCCCACAACGGUAACCCACACCGCUUGUACUAACAAUUCUAAUAUCUCACAUAUAUUGCAAAAACACAUCAAGAUAUAGAACACAAGUAUAGAUUAUGUCAUCUAUAAAAUAGAGCAAGAGAGAACGUGUAGAUACAAGAUCAUCAAAUACAAGUAAAGAAAGGUAAGACAAAUACAUAGAUGACAAGUCAAUAAGGCAAUACAACACAACAUAAACACAAUAAAGUAAGUGCAAUGUAUAUGAUAAUGAUGAUGGUGAUGAUGAUGCACGAGGUUGUCGCAUAACCUCCGGGACUGUCGCACAAUUCCCGUAUACACCUAUGGAGCUAAAGCUUCCCUACGUAGGACCCAUGGGGGGUUCGUCAACCCAUAUACAAUCCACAUAUCUCAUAUCUCCUUUCUGGCACAUCCCUCGGAAAGAGUUUUAUAAGGUGUUACAAUAUUUUUAAAAAGGUGUUGCCAGUGUUUCUCAGAUGUUGCCACGGUGGUACCAAUGUUUCCUGAAUGAGUAUGAUAUGAAGAUGUAAUGCUCACAACUAAUCACAAUAAGUAUUUCCACAACCAACCACAUGAUAUAUUUCUACAACCAACCACAAUGAUAUAUUUCCACAACCACAUGAGCCAAUAUUCACUCGUUAUUUUCAUUUCAUCCAUGAAUUUUCACAUGUCUCAUAUGCCAGUAAAGUAUGAAUAUAAUCAUAAUACACCCAUGCUACCACAUUAAACAAUACAAUACAAUUACUCACAUGUAUUCAAGGCUAUCAAUGUCACAUAGGACCCCACACGGUCAAACAUACCACAUAAUAUUUCAAUUUCAAUAAUUACAUCACAUAUAGGCCCCCACACGGGCACAAUACGUAGAUAGCCAUUUUUCAUGAUUAGUUCCCACCCUUAACAUGCAUUUUGUACCAUCAUUUACUACCCAGCCUAGUCUGAAGAGUUAGGCCACAACCUACCUCGAAAGUCGAAACCGGUUCGCUACACUUGAACCCGCGACCUUACUUUUCACGAAUAAUUUUGAACUCCACUAAAAACAUCAAAUAUGAAAUCUACGUGUAAAAAAAAAACCAACGACACCCAUAUUGACUACUUUUGAUUCGGGGUCAAAACGAACCCCCAAAAUAGGUUUCCAAAAAAGAAAGGCAAAAUUGGAACUUUACUUCAAAAAUAUGUUUCCCAUAUUUUUAGGAACCUACAUUUGAAAACCAAGGUAAAAUCAAAAAAGAAAGGCAAAAUUGGAACUUUACUUCAAAAAUAUGUUUCCCAUAUUUUUAGGAACCUACAGCUGAAAACCCAAGUUAAAUCGAGUGAAAAAAAGGGUUCAAAUCGAAGAAUCAGAGUUGUUUUAAAAGUUAAAUUGAUGAAAAACUAGUAAUUAUAAAAUAAAAAUAUUAUUCAAGUGAAGGGAGAUGAAAUUUGGAUUUAAAAUCAUGCCCUAAGAUUUUUGGAGUUUUGAGAAAUUUAUCAAGAAAUUUCUAAGAAAAGGGUGAAUUCUUACCUUAAAUCCGUAAUAAAACCAAGAAAAAGAUGUUAAUCUAGCUUUUCAAGCCCGCACAAACUUCACUUUUAAACUCUCAAACUAUUUAGGGUUUAACUCCCAAGAGGCAAGAUGAAAAAUGAGCAAAAUAGGUCAAAAAAGGUUAUUUAUCAGUGCAGAUUUUUCUGCACUGUUGUCAAAAGAAAAACUGUUUUUUUUUUUAACUCAAUCCGGACUUCAACGGGGUGCCCGGGAUUCGUUCGGAGUCGAUUUAUGCAAACAAACUAUGAAACCAUACUAAAUUCGACGAUCCGGACACGAUGGUUAUACCAGAUUUUCCAGAAAAAUUCAUUUUCACAAAAUUGACCCCCCCAAAUCCGAAAUCACAAUUUUCCAAACCGAGGGUCGAAAUGAGAUUUAAAAUCCUUAAAAUCAUACCAAAUAUGCUAACACACUAAAAUCGACAUUUUAGAUCUAUUGACGUAUUCAGAUUUUCCAUACGAGGUUGUUUCAACCAAAAGUGGGUCCCACACCCAACUUUUCAAUUUUUUUAACUUUCCAACCAAUAGGUCAAAAUGAGCUCGGGUGAACCAGGACCCAAACCAAAGAUCUACUUAACCUAAAAUCGAUAUUCGAAAACUGCAGGCGCAGUCCGUUGGGUCAUCCAUCGCACGGAUCAAAAUAUAACCACAUAAGUCCAAAAUAAGGCUCUUGAAGCCAUCAAAAACCACAAUAUUGCAUAAAUGAUACCAAAAUGCAUCAAAAAUCAUGUCAAUCACUCCCAUACCCCAGAAAUACUAUAAUGCAACUAUGGGGAGGGGUAAAAUAGUCAAAUCAUACAAAAUCACAAAUUUCACAUAUUUCAUCAAAUUUUUAGGUCGUUACAUCAUCCACUACUAAAAAUCUAGUUCGUCCUCAAACUAAGGCAAGAAAAUACCUGAAUCAAUGAAAAGCUGGGGAUAGGAACUACGCAUAUCAGACUCAAUCUCCGAAGUAGUCACAUCUACAGGUCAAAGUUGCCACUGGACCUGAACCACAAGGAUUACUUUAGAGCGCAACUGCCUAACAUCCCUAGCCAAAAUAGAAACUGGCUCCUCAACAAAGGACAACCACUCAUCUAACUAAACUGACUCCCAACGAAUGACAUGAGACUUAUCAAGAAUAUUGCAACAAAGCAUAAAAACAUGAAAACUGGAUGAACAACUGAUAGAUCAAGGGGCAAAGCCAACUCAUAAGUCACAUCACCAACAGUCUGAAGAAUCUCAAAUGGAUCAAUAUACCUGGGGCUAAGUUUGCCCCUCUUACUAAACCUCAUCACACCCUUCAUGGGUGAAACUCGAAGGAAAACAUGAUCACCAACACCAAAACUUAAGACACGAAGUUUACGAUCAGCAUAACACUUUUGCCUACUUUGGGACGCUCUAAGUCUAUCCUGAAUGACCCGAACCCUAUCCAAAGACUCACAAAGCAAGUCCGUACCUCGAGGUUUCACCUCUGAAACAUCGAACCAACCUACUGGAGAGAGACAACGCCUACCAUACAACGCCUCAAAAGGAGCCAUAUCAAUAUUGGAAUGGUAGCUAUUACUAUGUGCAAACUAUACUAAAGCCAAAUACUGCUCCCACUGGCCACCAAAAUCCAUCACGCACGCGCGGAGCAUACUCCAAAACCUGGAUAGUCCAUUCUAUCUGGCAAUCAUUCUGGGGUGAAACGCUGAACUAAGAUCCGCUCGAGUACCUAACUCAUCUUGAAAAGUUUUCCAACAGUGAGAUGUGAACACAUGACCUUGAUUUGAAAUAAUGAACACCGGCACACCAUGCAGACGUACAAUCUUACGAAUGUAGAUACGGGACAACCUCUCAGCACUAAAUGAGACCUGAACAGAAAUAAAAUGAGCUAACUUGGUCAAUCAAUCCAUGAUGACCCAAACACUGUCGGAAUCAUGAGAUGUACGCGGCAAACCAGUCUUAAAGUCCAUAAUGAUGCGUUCCCACUUCCACUCAGGAAUGGGUAACCUCUGAAGUAAACCACCAAAUCUCAUAUGCUCGGCCUUCACCUGCUGACAACAUAGGCAACAAAACACAAAUUCUGCUAUAUCUACCCUCAUACCACCCCAUAGGUAGUGCUAUCUCAAAUCACGAUACAUUUUAGUCACACCUGGAUGGAUGGAAUAUCUGGAACAAUGGGCCUCCUCUAAGAUCAACCUAAUUCUAUCACUUCUCCCGAAAGACAAACUCAGCCCUCAAUCCUUAAAACUUCAUCUGAAUUAGGUAAGCUUCCUUAGACUCUCCACUUAAUAUCUUAUCUCGAAUCAACCUCAACCCAACAUCGUCAAACUAAUAAGCUCGAAUCUAUUCCAUCAAAGAGGGUCUAGUAUCUAAAAGUGCCAAAACACGCCCUGGUGUUGAAAUAUCAAGCCUGACCAUCAAAUUAGCUAAAGACUGAACCUCUGAGGCCAACGACCUCUCCUGAGUUAAAAGAUGCACCAAGCUACCCAUGCUAGCCGACUUCUAGAUCAAGGUAUCCACAACCACAUUAGCCUUUCCCUAAUGGUAAAGAAUAGUCAAGUUAUAAUCCUUAAGCAACUCAAGCCAAUGACGCUGCCUCUUAAGAAAAUCUCGCUGAUAAAGAAGUACAAAAGGCUACGAUGAUCUGAGAAGAUCUCACAAUGGAAUCCAUACAAGUAGUGCCUCCAAAACUUCAAGGCAAACACAACUACGCACAACUCCAAAUCAUGGGUAGGAUAAUUCCUCUCAUGAGGAUUCAAUUGACGAGAUGCAUAAGCAAUUACCUUGCCCUCCUGCAUCAAUACAACACUUAACCCAACACUAAAAAUAUCACAAAAGACAAUAAAGCCCACGCCCUCCUUAGGCAAAGCUAAUAUAGGAGCUAAAGUCAACAAAUCCUUGAGCUUUAUGAAGUUCGCCUCACAAGCUUCGAACCACUGAAAAGAAAUCUUCUUCUGGGUUAACUUGGUCAAUGGAGAUGCAAUGGAUGAAAAACCCUCAACAAAACAUCGAUAAUACUUAGCCAAGCCAAUAAAACUUUAAAUCUCGGUGGGCGAAGUAGGUUUAGCCCAAAUCACGAACCGCUGCAACCUUAGCUGGAUCAACCAUAAUACCUUUCUUAGUUACCACAUGACCCAAGAAAGAAAAUAGAUACUAACCAAAACUCACACUUAGAGAACUUAGCAUACAACUUCUCGUCCCUCAAUCUAUGACGCACAAUCCACAAAUACUCCUCUUGCUCAACCUCACUCUUGGAAUAAACCAAGAUAUCAUCUAUAAAUACCUUAAUAAAAGAGCCAAUAUAUGGUCGAAACACUUAUUCACCAACUUCAUGAACGAGGCAGGGGAAUUGGUCAACCCAAAAGACAUGACCAAGAACUUAUAAUGACCAUAUCGAGUUCGAAAAGCUAUUUUCGGAAUAUCCAAAGCUCUAAUCCUCAACUGGAUGAUAACCGAACUAGAAUUCAAUCUUCGAAAACACCACAGUGCCCUGAAGCUAAUCAAAUAAAUCAUCAAUGCGAGGAAGAGGAUACUUAUUCUUAACCAUUACCUUUUUCAACUGCCGAUAUCAAUACAUAUCUGCAUAGACCCAUCCUUUCUCUUUACAUACAAGACAGACGCACCCCAAGGUGAAACACUAGGUUGAAUAAAUCCCUUAUCCAAUAACUCCUAUAACUUAUCCUUCAAUUUCUUUCAACUCUGUUGGGGCCAUCCUAUAAGGAGAAAUAGAAAUGGGCUCGGUGCCCGACUCAACAUCAAUAAUAAAAUCAAUAUCUCAAUUCAAAGGCAUACUAGGAAAGUCAGUAGGGAACACCUCCAUAAACUCACGGGCAACAUAGAAGAAAUCCAAGAAAGGAGGCGAAAAAACACUUGUGUCACGAAUAUGGGCCAAGUAAGAUAAACAUCCCUUCUCAACCAAUUUAUGAGCCUGACCAUAAAAUAUAACCCUCUUAGGACCCGAAUUAAGUGUACCCUUUUCAAGCUAUCCUUGUCACACCAACUAAAGCUAAAGUCACAGUCCUAGCAAAACAAUCUAAGACAACAUGAUAAGGAGCCAAACAAUCUAUAUCCAAAAUAACAUCAAAAUUGAUCAUAUCUAACACAAGCAAGUCUACCAAAGUUUCACAUACAGAAAAAGUCACAACACAAGAUCGGUACACCUAAUCCACCACUAAAGAAUCACCUACCGAGGUAGAUACACGAAUAGACAUGGCAAGAUGCUCCCUAACAUAAUCAAAACCCAAAGAAAAAUAUACAGACACAUAGGAGAAAGUUAAUCUAGGAUCAAAUAAUAACAUGCAGGUCUGAAACAAAUGGAACGGUAUCUGCGAUCACAACAUCUGAAGAGUCCACCUCAGAUCUGACUGAUAUAGCGUAGCACUAUCCAUGACUACCAUCUGGCUGAGUGGCCCCAUAACCACCAACACGGGCUCUACCAUCUCUACCUCUAGUAUUUUUGGUAGAAUACCUACCUCUCACAACUGAAAUAAGGUUAUCUCUAGACACGCGACAAGAACAGUCCUUGGACACAUGGCAAAUCUCAUCACAUACAUAACAACCUCUGCAACUAGUCUCAAUAGGAGAAGGUACAACUGGGCCUGAACGGCCACCUUAAACUGCUGGACUAGAAGGUCCACCACCUGAACUCUAUAAUGUCGCCUGUACUGGCCUACCAUAGUAUCCACGAGAACCUCUAAAAUUUUUGCCUCAAGAGGCCUGACUCCUGAACUCACCAAAAUAUCCCGCCUUCUUGGCGCCUCUCUGAGAUGCACUAAGAAUAUUCUCUGUCAUCCUAGCAUGAUCCACAAUACUCUAAAAAGAAGCCCCAAACACAACUAUAUGAAAUGUAGCCAACAGAAGGAAGAAAAUCCAACUCUUCACAAACUUUUGAAUCUUCUCAAACUCGGUGGAAAUGCUAUCUUAGAAAUAUCAAGAUAGGGUAUGAAAACAUGCCUUAUACUCAAAAACUGUCAUGGAGCCCCGCUCCAAAUUAUCAAACUCGUCCCACAUAUGAUCUCUCAAACUAAAAGGCACAAAUCUUUCCAGAAAGGUAUCAACAAACUGAUCCCAUGACAACUCAGGAGAUUAACAAGCCUACAACCAACAAAUAAUAUCCAAUAAUCUCUCCCUACAUCUCUCAACUGGUAAGAGGUAUAACUAACUCCAUUCACGUAGAAAGAGUAAAACAUAACUCAGAAUAUAGGGUAUGAAAGAAUUUCACACGAUAAAGAAUGAAACAAAGGAAUUUUCCUAAAGACAUCCUAUAGUCUCUCAAAGAUAGAUACAGACGUCUACGUACCAAUCCACGAGACUCUAUUAGACAUCCCGUUCUUACACCAUUGAGACCAAUGAAACCUGGCUGCUUUGAUACCAAUUUGUCACGACCCUAAAAUGAGGGUCAUGAUGGCACUUGUCGCGGCGUACCUUGACAAGUAAGCCAAUCACCUAAACUGAUACUAAUAGAGAAAAAGACAGAAAUAUCAAAGGUAAGGCUUCUAGAAUGCAGCCGAAUCAUAUAAAUAAUCAUAACAAUGCGGAAAGAACUUAUCCAAAACAUCAAUCAUGCCCAAAACCAGGUGUCAAUAGUGUAAAAACUAGUAAUACAAUCAAAGAGUCAAAUACAUCAAAAAAAUAACUAUAAAGGAAUAAUAAUUGUCUCCGAACACUAAUAAAGACAUAACUAGUAUAGAAAGAUAGAGGUGAACUUCGGAUGCAUGAAUGUCCAACCGCUACCUUGGAAGCUCCACCAACUGCCCGAAUCAAGUAAGCUGAGGCGCACUCGAGCUAGGACCUGCACCAAAAGGGCGCAGUAGGCAUGAGUACAGUUCACUUGUACUCAGUAGGUAUCAUAGGCCGACUAAGCAAAGUAGUAAAUAAGGCAUACAAAAUAUACACUAAGGGCACGUCACUUGCAAUCAGAAAAUGUCCCACAACGGUAACCCACACCGCUUGCACUAACAGUUUUAAUAUAUCUCACAUAUAUUGCAAAAACACAUCAAGAUAUCGAACACAAGUAUAGAUUAUGUCAUAUAUAAAAUAGAGCAAGAGAGAACAUGUAGAUACAAGAUCAUCAAAUACAAGUAAAGAAAGGUAAGACAAAUACAUAGAAGACAAGUCAAUAAGGCAAUACAACACAACAUAAAUACAAUAAAGUAAGUGCAAUGUAUAUGAUGUCGCAUAACCUCCGGGAUCGUCGCACAAUCCCCAUAUACACCUACGGAGCCAAAGCGUCCCGACGUAGGACCCAUGAGGGGUUCGUCAUCCCAUAUACAAUCCACAUAUCUCAUAUCUCCUUUUCGGCACAUCCCUCGAAAAGGAUUUUAUAAGGUGUUACAAUAUUUUUAAAAGGGUGUUGUCAGUGUUUCUCAGAUGUUGCCACGGUGGUACCAAUGUUUCAUGAAUGAGUAUGACAUGAAGAUGUAAUGCUCACAACCAAUCACAAUAAGUAUUUCCACAGCCAACCACAUGAUAUAUUUCCACAACCAACCACAAUGAUACAUUUCCACAACCACAUGAGCCAAUAUUCACUUGUUAUUUUCAUUUCAUCCAUGAAUUUCCACAUGUCUCAUAUGCCAGUAAAGUAUGAAUGUAAUCGCAAUACACCCAUGGUACCACAUUAAUCAAUACAAUUCAAUUACUCACUUGUAUUCAAGGCUAUCAAUGUCACAUAGCACCCCACACCGUCAAACAUAUCACAUAAUAUUUCAAUUUCGACAAUUACAUCACAAAUAGGCCCCCACACGGGCACAACACAUAGAUAGACAUUUUUCAUAAUUAGUUCCCACCCUUAACAUGCAUUUGUACCACCAUUUACUACCCAGCCCAGUCUGAAGAGUUAAGCCAUAACCUACCUCAAAAGCUGAAACCGAUCCGCUACACUUGAACCCGCGAGCUUACUUUUUACGAACAAUUCCAAACUCUACUAAAAACAUCAAAUAUGAAAUCUAUGCGUAAAAAAAAACCAACGACACCCAUAUUGACUACUUUUGGUUCGGGGUCAAAAUGGACCCCCAAAAUAGGUUUCCAAAAAAGAAGGACAAAAUUGAAACUUUACUUCAAAAAUAUGUUUCCCAUAUUUUUAGGAACCUACAGCUGAAAACUCAAGUUAAAUCGAGUGAAAAAUGGGGUUCAAAUCGAAGAAAAACCAUUUUUGAGUUUUACCGGAUAAAAUUCUUGAAAUCCGGGUUAAAAUCAAGAAUCAGAGUUGUUUUGAAGGUUAAAUUGAUGAAAACUAGUAAUUAUAAGAUAAAAAUAUUAUUCAAGUGAAAGGGGAUGAAAUUUGGGUUUAAAAUCAUGCCCUAAGAUUUUUGAGCUUUUGAGAAAUUUAUCAAGAAAUUUCUAAGAAAAGGGUGAAUUUUUACCUUAAAUCCGUAAUAAAACAAAAAAAAAAGAUGUUAAUCUAGCUUUCCAAGCCCUCACAAACUUCACUUUUAAACUCCCAAACUAUUUAGGUUUAACUCCCAAGAGGCAAGAUGAAAAAUGAGCAAAAUAGGUCAAAAAGGUUAUUUAUCAGUGCAGAUUUUUCUGCACUGCUGUUUUUUUUUAACUCAAUCCGGACUUCAACGGGGAGCCCGGGAUUCGUUCGAAGUUCGAUUUACGCAAACGAACUAUGUAACCACACUAAAUUUGACGUUCCAGAUGCGAUGAAGAUACCAGAUUUUCCAGAAAAAUCCGUUCCGACACCCGAAAUCACAAUUUUCCAAAUCGAGGGUCGAAAUGAGAUUUAAAAGCCGUAAAAUCAUACCAAACAUGCUAACACACUAAAAUCAACAUUCUGUAUCUGUUGGUGAAGUUGGAUUUUCCAUACGAGGUUGUUUCAACCAAAAGUGGGUCCCACACCCAACUUUCCAAUUUUUUCAACUUUCCGAUCAAUAGGUCGAAAUGAGCUCGGGUGAACCAGGACCCGAACCAAAGAUAUACCUAGCCUAAAAUUGAUAUUUCAGAGCUGCUGACGUAUUCCGUUCGGUCAUCCAUCGUACGGAUCAGAAUAUAACCACAUAAGUCCAAAAUAAGGCUCUCGAAGCCAUAAAAAACCACAAUAGUGCAUAAAUGAUACCAAAAUGCAUCAAAAAUCAUGUCAACUAUUCCCACACCCCAGAAAUACCAUAAUGCAGCUACGGGGAGGGGUAAAACAGUUAAAUCACACAAAAUUACAAAUUUCAUCAAAUUUUUAGGUCGUUACAGUAUAUAUAUGAAUAUGGCGACUGCUUUUUCGUAGUAAAUUUUGACACAAUAAAAAUAUAUUAAAAAAGAUUUUAGUAAUAAAAGUCUAUUGAUAGAUGUCCUUUUUGGUCAUUUGUCUCAAAAAAGCACUUCUUAAAAAAGAUUAUCCAAACACAAUUUGAUUAUCAAAAGUACUUUUCAAAUGAAUUUACCAAACACAAACUGCUUUUUUUUUUUUUUUAAAAGCACUUUUCUGAAUAGCCAUUUCAUAAAAGUGCUUCUCAAAUAAGCUGUUUUGUAACAACAAUCCCAAACGAGCUCUUAGUCACUUUGCAACACAAAUUUUUUCAGGCAUGCAAUGUGGCCAUAUUAUCACGACCCAAACCGGGCCAAGACAGGCAUCCCAAACCAUGAAGGCCUGAGAGACCUUCAAACUUGAAAUCACAUACACCAUUAAUUUACAAAAGGAAAUGUGGAAAUAUGAAGCUAUACAGAAUUAUGGUCAUGUUCUAAGUCAAGCAUAUCUAGACAACAUCUGUUUCUGUCUGCGAAAUCUCUAAUAUAUACGAAAAUUAACAAAACUGUCUGAAACUGGGACAUGGCCCCUAGUGGACCUAAAUCAAAAUAAAUAGCAAGUCACUGAAAAUAAAUAGGCCUUCUUGAAUAAAAAAGGCUCACCAACUGCACACUUCAUUUAUGACAAGUCAGUCUACUACUUAACAGGACCCCAGGAAUAUGUCUCAGAAUUCUGAAAUAGAGGGGGUCAAUACAGAUGUACUGGUACGUAGAGCAAUUCAAAAUAAUGUAAUUAUAUAUAUGUAUAUAUUAAAUAGGUGAGAGCAAGUCAUGAAACAUCAUGCAUGAUAUAGUUUAAAAUACAUGGGCAUUCUUUGAUAAUCAUAAAACCUUCUUGUUAAUGCAGUUCUAUUCUUUGUAUUAAUUCUGAGUUAGGUGGUACACCCUACAAGUCUACAACCCCAUGGGCUAUAUAGAAUUCUCCCUUAACUCAACGGCUAAGCCCCCAACCCAAGUUUGCUGCAAGAGUUGGAGUGUCUGAGUCUGAUAUGCCAUAGGGCACUAGGCCAACGUAUAAUCCCUCUAGGGGACAUAAUAACUUGUAUCGGCAAAACACGAUUUCGAAAAAUGAGUUAUCUGAACUCGUGACUUCUUUGGGUAACUACCUAACAUCUCUUCAUGCCCAAUUUUAGCCUUUUCUGAACAUGCAUCUUUCUGAAUUCAGAAUAUGUAAGUUUAAGUGAAAUCUGAUUCUAUUCUAGUCUGCAUCUAUUAUGAAAUUGUCUGUAAUGGUAUCGUUAUACCAAGACUUGCAAGUCGUAUUCUAAGUUAUAAAAUAUUAUGUCAUAAUCUCUUUAUUCAAAACAUAAAAUUUGGACCACCAUAUCAUUCAAGCAGUUCAAGAGAAUUCAUACAUCAAAAUGUAUGUCAAAAUAUGCAAAGAAUCUUUCUUUUUAAUAUUUCAACAAACAUGUGGUGGUCAUGUAUUUUUUACAAACUAUGCAAUUCUUUCAUUAUAUGUCUUCAACAUUUAUCUACGUGUAAAACUCCCUCUCUUCAAUUCAAAACCAUAAUUAAGUCAUAAACAAAAUCAAUACAUUUAUAUCAUGCUCCCAACAAUGCAUCUUGAAUAAAUCAUAUCUUACAAAAACAAGAAGCUUGCAAACAAGAGAGGAAUUUUCAAUAGAUCAUGCUCUCGAUUGAUCAUUCAAAUUUAUCAAAACACAUACAUACAUACAUACAUAUAUAUAUAUACACACACACACACACAUAUAUAUAUAUAUACACACUUAUACAUGGUUAUAAAUCAAGUUUGGGGGAAAGACCUCAAGACCAAAACAAUAAUGUCAUUAAAGAAUUCAUAAAGCAACAUUGUAAUAUAAAUUCUAAAAUCCCUUCAAAGUUCAUGAUUUCACAAUGUUUAAAUGUUGUUGAAAUAAUUUCCUUAUGCCCAUGUAGUUUAGGAAAACAUCACGUACCUCAGAUUACUUAAUUAAGGAGUAGAACUUGAUUUCUUGAUUUGUUCCUUGAAAAUCUUGAACUUAGAGGUUAGUUCUUGAUUUCUUAUUCUUGGGAAAAAUGCUAAUUUUGAUGUUAUGGAUGAAUGAGGAGUUAUGUGCUUUGAUUUGAUGUAAUUUGGUGUUAAAAAGGGUGGGACAGACCUAAAAAUCCCUUUAAAAAUGACUUUAGUUUGCUAAACGGAGGUGCGGGACAGUUUGGGCGGCGAACCGUCACCCUGGGGAUGGACUGUCCCUCAAACCGUCGCUUUAUGGCAAGAAAAUGGGCUUACUUCCUUAGUUGCGACGGUUUGGGCAACGGUUUAUCUCUGGCGCGACGGUCUGUCGGCCUUCCCAUCUCACUAUGGCAGUUUGGAUAGCUCACUGUAAAAUGGCCAUAACAUUUUACCCCAAUAUCGGAUUUAGGCAAAAUUGGUGGCGUUGGAAAGAGGACUCAAAGAACUUUCAUUUGAUAUAUAGUAGGACCUAUAAUUUGUUAUAUACCAAGUGUUAGGGUCGAUUGAAGUUGACCCAAGUUUAAAAGCUCACCAAAACUCAAUCGAUAGGAAGACUUUCAACUCGUCCUUGAGUUAGGGGACCUCUAUGAUCUCAAGUCAAGCUUAACUAGAUUCCUACACUAUAUAAUUGAUUAAAACACUACAUUUAAAUUGGAUCUAUGGAUUUUGGAUCCUUUACGCGUAGAAAUAAUGGUUUACAUCCUAGCCCAAAAAUGCGGGGCAUUAUCUUUGAGGAUCUAAAAGUGUAGAAUAACUCAACAAAACAUAUAAAGGCAUCAAACGAGUUUCAUGAUAACUCCGAGUAAAAUAUGCAAGCACGAAACAUGGGAUAAUGAGACUCUACAUAGAGAUUCCCUGAUCUUGCACAAGGGUUCUAUGAGUCCUAAUCAUUUCAACAUAAGGCAGGGGUUUAUUUAAUGAUAGUAGGCCUGAUUUACAUUGGUACCAUCAUGAGAUAACGAAACUUGACAUCGACGUGAUCUCAACAUGUGUUCUAUGGCACAUGGUCAAAACACUGUAAGGCAUGAAUUUUUUCCCCUAUACUCCUCGACUCGAUUAAGAUUGGUACAAGACAUGAGAUGAGAUUUCCGCGGGACAUAAGAAUAGAUUAGAAACAUUUUCUACCUCAUAGAAUACUUCGAAUAGACUUACACUUGGAGACACUACUCAUCCACGCCCCGAACAAUAAUUAACAUACUUCAUAUUUUCCAACUUACAAUUCUCCCACCAUGCAUCUAACCAUAAAAAUUUAAGUCACACUACAAAAAGGAUAUUACGUUGAAACCUAACCCGGAGUAACAAGAUGCUAACUUAAGCUACAGUCACCUGUACUCUACAUCCCAUUAAGAAAAAUACUUCACCUUAUCACUACCACCAAACACCCUCGAGUUUUUAAUCAAGGAGUACUAACUACAUAAACCAGUGAUUUGCAUUUUCAUCAAUCACAAUAUUCAAGCCUAUCAUUACUACACCCACUUCAUGGAUCUCCCUACUAAGACCAUCCAAUUCAAUCAUUCUCACUAAGAUUUUUGCCACAUAGCUCCUUCUUAACUUUCUCACAUAAUGAAAGUUCAUAUCCUUCUUCCCCCUUCCUCUCUAGCAUUAACUCAAGAAUUCACAUAAGAAAUUUUCACCUUCAAGAAUAUCUACUCCCCUACCUAACACAUUACUUUGCCUCCACAACCACCAUCAUACCAACAUAUGGAGGGUCAUUAAGGGACCCGAGCAUACACAUCAUGAAUGAAAGAAACACUGCUCAAUUAUAACUCAUAUUUGUUAAUCUACUCUAGGUGGGACAUGAAAUGAAGAUACGGUAGAUAAAAUAAAUAUGAAGUGCUCCAUAUAUCAAGUGUCUGGAUCAUAAGUAAAGGGUCGUUUGGCAUAAACACAACAAAACAUGAUUUCUUUGGACAGACCACAAUGAGGAACAUGGAUGCACAUAUUAUGAGGUAUAUGGCAUAAGGCCAAAAUUUAUGUAGUUAAAACUAAUACAAGGAUCGCCACUUGAAGAGGUUGGUCCUCAUUUAAAGAGCUAAAAUUUUCCAUGAGUUUGCAUAAAAUUUAUCACUUUGGCUACGACCCACAUAGGAUGAACCAGUGGCAUGUAGAAACACUUUUUCUUAAGUCCAAGCAUGCUGAGAGACAUAGAUUUUCAUGGAUCACGAACAACAUAACAUAUGGCUUGAAUACAUGAAAGACUGGAUUACUAAGAGACAUAAUUGCUUCUAGUUGGGAGGUCAGAUCAUGAGCAUAAGUCCAUAGAGAAUUCGAACCGUAAGCAUAGGCAUGAUUUGAACACAUCAAGUAGGAAAUUAGUAGAAUAAUCUCUGAAAUGGAAGUAGGAGGAGUAUGCUUGAAUGGGAAUUGAUUUAUCAUGAUUCUUACUUGAAACUUGACACCACAAAAAGAUUUAAGGCAUGACUACUCGGGGUAUUACAUUUCCCCCUUGGAUUUAAGCCAUCAUUCUAAAUCUAUGGAACCCCUCAAUCUAAAACUUCCUUAGAGUAAUAAUGGAGAAUCUAGACUUCUUGGGGGAGGAUCUUUGGAGUUCUUAGGGUAUCGCUUGAGAGAAAAGUAAUGAAAAUAAGCCUAAUGUGCUUAGAAUAGGCUUAAAUCUUGUGUUUUGGAUGGAUUGUGGUAGGGAAAAUGACUCAUUUACCCUUAAAAAUACGGUAUGAAAUUGCAGAUAUUUCCCGAACCGAACCGGUCAGGGCGCCGCGGGCUAAUCGCCCUAAGCUACUGUUUUGGAGUACCAAACAUGCCCUUGCGCUUGUCUGAAAAUUCCGAAACUUACCCGAGAUGCACUAUUGACUCCCCCAAUUGUGAAUCAACUUAAAAAUUAACUUUUGAAGGUCGGGAAGGUUGGAAAUAGAUCCCUCAAAGUUUGAGGGCUUAGGAAAAGACUACGUCCUAACACUUAGCUGAAAAUUUUCUAAGUCUGGGACCUUUCAUGGCAUGUUAUAAAGGACUUAGAUGACUAGGAUUUUUGCAGGGUCUUAAAAUACGCGUAAAUAAUAGAACUUACCCCAAACAACUACACCUGAAAGUGUAAACCCCACUUCUAAUACUUCCAUCAUCUCCCCCGUAGAUCAAAGUCACCCUCCUAGACUUGAGAAUAUAACCUCUCGUCAAUCUAUAACCAUAAUUCUCAAUACAAUAAGGGAUGUCGGUACACACACGAACACAAACUUCCUUCAAGAAUUUUGCAUAAAGACACUAAAUUCUUUUUGGGUCAUCCCCCUUCAGGGAUACUAAUCAUAACUUCCUCUAACCCGAAAGUCACCAACUUAUGACUAACAUUAUUAUGGGAAUGGUCACUCACGUUUCUAAAUACUUAAUGAUCCAUCUUCAAUUCUUUAGAAUACUAUUAUUACACCUCUAAUCACAUAACUUAUAACUUCGCAAAAAUCUGUAAGACUAUACCAAGGGCGCAUAUUGCCUACCUAUAUUUCCUGAAUUCAACUUUAAUGAACAUUAUACAACAACUCCCCAGACUUCUCUAUACUACAAAAUUUAAAAACACAAGCCGGGUACACAUGAUAUUUAUACCAUAUCACCUUAUCCAACAAUAUUCUCUCAGGGUUUAACUUAUUAAUAUAUGACUAUCACUUUUAUCAUCUUAAUGACUCAACCACAAUUCAUCAUUUUUAACACUAGUCCUCAAGUAUAUAUAUCACCAUUUAUCCAAUCCCCUUUUCAUAAAUUGCCAACCUAGGCCAUUUCACACAUCACAUCCAACCUACUAAUUAAUUCCCACAAACAUGGAUUAUCAAUCUCGAGCUACUAUUCUCACCAGUACACUGCACAUCUAAAGUUCAAGCCUGUUGUCUAUCCUCAAUUAUUUACCAUCGGUAAAGCAUGCCACAUACUACACUAGUCCAUCAAAUUGGGAAAUCAACUCAAAUACUUUACUUUACUUAACUACUACCUACAAUCAUAACCCUACCAUAACCUCGCUAUUAAAAUUUAAAAUCCACUACAUACCCUCUCACAUGAAAUACUAGUUACUACUACUAAAGAAAAACCAUCAAGGGGGUGGGGUAAAGUCACAUGAUAGGAUUAGUCGAUCUUAAUAUUAUAAUAUAACCCACUUCAAUUUUAUCAACAUAUUCUAAUUCCUCACAUCAUACUUACUUACCCAAUCAUACAUCACAAUGAUCUUGAAAAUUCAACAAACACUAAUGAGCCUCUACCUACAACUUAUUAACUAACCUACCCCUUUUCACUUCCUACUUGUAAAUGAUUUCUAUAACCACCAUAACCAUCUAUUCGAAGAUCCUCCCUAUUUCAAAUAGAAGAAAAUCAUAGCCAGCUACUUCCUUCACAGACUACCAUACAGUCCACAAAUAUUGCUACAUAUUAGUCUAUCACUAUACAAUUGCACCCCACUCCUUAAUCCAUGAUUAUACAACUAAAACUAUUUAUUUACACAAAUGUCACCCUUACUCUGACUGCUAACCUUGUGACUUUGUUCACCAACUUCUAGACUAUCUCACCACCAAUAGGUCAUGACACUUAAACAUACACCACUACUCGGGUGGAAAUACAGUUCUAAUAUUCUGCUACAUAUCUUUAUCCUCAAACAUGACAUCCAUAACAAGAAUUUUAUUAAAGAAGACUGAAUGCACUCCAUACCUCAGACUCAACUGCACAACACAGAUAGGGAUAUAUGCUUAAAUAAACACACUUUAAAAAACUCAUGGACUCCUCUCAAGUCCUUGUGCAAAAUUCAUAACUUUAUGGAAUACUCAAUUAGAGAGAACCAUAUCACUGGAAGAGCUAGACUCUUAGACUUGUAUCACCUCGACAAUGAGGCAUAACCCAUGAAAUUAGAAUGAGGAAUGGACUUGGAUAAAUUUCUUAUGGAUGACUCUAUAACACAAACUAGAGUAUGAAAGAAUGGGAAACAACUCCUAAAUGCCUGAUAGCCUCCUGAUUACAAGUGUGGUGCACAACAAAUGCAUAAUCAAGACUCUACUAGACACAAUUUUGUAGAUACCCUGGGACCAUGAACCGUUCUUUGAUACCAAGUUUGUCACAACUCAAACUGGGGCCCUGGCGGUGAUGGGCAUCCCGAACCAUGAAGGCUUGAGAGCUCUUCUAACUUGAAAUCACAUACACCAUUCAUAUACGAAAGAAAAUGCAGAAAUAUAAAGCAAUACAGAAUCAUGGUCAUGUUCUAAGUUAAGCAUAUCAAUACGAAGAAAGAUCUAUCAACAUCUAGACAAUAUCUAUUUCUGUCUGCAAAAUCUAUAAUACAUAUAAAAAUUAACAAAACUGUCUGAAACUGGAACAAGGCCCCCACUGGACCUAAAACAAAAUAAAUAGCAAGUGACUGAAAAUAAAUAGGCAUUCUGGAAUAAAGAAGGCUUACUAAUUUCACACUUCACUUCUGGCAAGUCAAUCUAAUGCUUAACGGGACCCUAAGACUGUGUCUCAAAAUCCUGAAAUACAGGGGGGCAAUACAGAUGUACUGGUAUGCAGAGUAAUCCAAAAUAAUGUAUAUAUAUAUAUAUAUAUAUAUAAAAUAGGUGAGAGCAAUUCAUGAAACAUCAUGCAUGAUAUAGUUUAAAAUACAUGGGCAUUCUUUGAUAAUCAUAAAACCUUCUUGUCAAUGCAGUUCUAUUCUUUGUAUUAAUUUUGAGUUAGGUGGUACACCCUACACAUCUACAACCCCACGAGCUAUAUGGAGUCCGCCCUUAACUUGGAGGCCAAGCCCCCAACCCAAGUUUUCCGUAAGAGUUGGAGUGUCUGAGUCUGAUACGCCAUAGGGCACUAGGCCAGCGUAUAAUCUCCCUAAGGGACAUAAUAACUCAUAUUGGAAAAAUACGAUUUCAGGAAAUGAGUUAUCUGAACUCGUGCCUUCUUUGGGUAACCACCUAACAUCUCUUCAUGCCUAAUUUUAGCCUUUUCUAAACAUGCAUCUUUCUGAAUUAAAAAUCUAUAAGUCUGAGUGAAAUCUAAUUCUAUUCUAGUCUGUGUCUAUUAUGGCAUUGUCUGUAUUGUAUCGUCAUACUAAGUCUUGCAAGUCGUAUUUCUAAGUCAUAAAAUAUUAUGUCAUAAUUUCUUCAUUCAAAACAUAAAAUUUGGACAACUAUAUCAUUCAAGCAGUUCAAGAGAAUUCAUACAUCAAAAUAUAUCUCAAAAUAUGCAAAGAAUCUUUCUUUUCAACAUUUCAACAAAUAUGUGGUGGUCAUGUAUUUUUGACAAACCAUACAAUUCUUUCAUUAUAUGUCUUCAACAUUUAUCAAUGUGUUAAACCCCCUCUCUUUAAUUUAAAACCAUAAAUAAGUUAUAAACAAAAUUAAGGCAUUUAUAUCAUGCUCCCAACAAUGCAUCUUGAAUAAAUUAUAUCUUACAAAAACAAAAAUCUUGCAAACAAGAGAGGAAUUUCCAAUAGAUCAUGCUCUCGAUUCAUCAUUCAAAUUUAUCAAAACACAUACUUAUAUACUUAUACAUGGUUAUAAAUCAAGUUUGUGGAAAGGCCUCAAGACCAAAACAAUAAUGUCAUUAAAGAAUUCAUAAAGCAACAUUGUAAUAUAAAUUCUAAAAUCCCUUCAAAAUUCAUGAUUUCACAAUGUUUAAAUGUUGUUGAAAUAAUUUAUUUAUGCCCAUUUAGUUUAGGAAAACCCCACUAACCUUAGAUUACUUAAUUAAGGAGUAAAUCUUGAUUUCCUGAUUUGUUCCUUGAAAAUCUUGAUAUUAGAGGUUGCUUUUUGAUUCCUUGUUCUAGGAAAAAACACUAGUUUUGAUGUUAUGGAUGAAUGAGGAGUUAUGUUCUUUGAUUUUAUGGAAUUAGGUGUUAAAAAAGGUGGAAGAGACCCAAAAAUCCCUUUUAAAUGGAUCGCUAAAUGGAGGUGCGGGACAGUUUGGGUGACGAACUGUCACCCUGGGGACGGACCAUCCCUCAAACCGUCUCUUUAUGGCCAGAAAACGGGCUUACUACCUCAAUUGUGAUGGUUUGGACGAUGGUUCGUCGCUGGCACGGUGGUCCGUCGGCCUUCCCGUCGCUCUUUGGUAGUUCAGGUAGCUCACUAUAAAUCGGCCAUAACUCUUUACACCGAUAUCGGAUUAAGGAAAAAUUGGUGGCAUUGGAAAGAGGACUCAAAGUCCUUUCAUUUGAUAUAUAGUAGCCCCUAUAAUUCAUUAUAUACAAAAUCUAGGAUCGAUUGAAGUUGAACCAAGUUUAAACAUUCACCAAAACUCAAUCGACAGGAAGGCUUUCAACUCGUCCUUAAGUUAGCGGACCUCUAUGCUAUCAAUUCAUGCUCAACUAGAUUACCACACUGUAUAAUUGAUAAACACACUACAUUCACAUUGGAUAUAUGGCUUUUGGAUCCUUUACACAUAGAAAUAACGGUUUACGUCCUAGCUCGAAAAUGCGGGGCAUUACUCAUAUUUUGGCCAAAUUUUAUUAAAAAUCUCUUGAUAUUUUUGUAAAAUCUCAUGACAUUUUGUUCAAAAUCUAUACCAAGAUAUUACUACUUGGAUCCAAAGUUUGGCUAUGUGGAUGGGAUUUUUUGAGGUUUUUUCCUUUUUAUUCUACUUGGAGCCCAAGAACCUCCUCCAACAAAUAGAGGAGAGUUCUUUCAUUCUAAACACACCUUGAAGAACUUGAAAAAUAUUCAUUACUUUCUUCCUUUUGUCUUUCUUUUAGAGUAUUUUGUAAGAGAGUGAGUGUUGGGAAAUACUUGUGUGAAUUCUUUCUUGGAGUAAUCUUGUGAGUUUACUCUUUUGGGAUAAUUUUGGGUUGAUUAGAGUAUUUAGUCUAAUUUUGUACUCUCUAUUGUAAUCUUCUUGUUGGUAUGGUGAAAUUUCUCCUCUCCGCUUGUGGACAUAGGUCAUACUGAUCGAACAACGUUAUAUCCGUGUCUUCUUUAUUUUUCUUUAAUUGUUAUUAUUAUCUUGUUAUUGUCUUUGUUAUGAUCAUUAUACUAGUGUUUGGCUAAAUUUUGAAAUAACCAGGUUUAUGAUCCUAACAAAUUGGCAUAAGAGCCUAGUUUAAUCGGGAUAUUUUUAGCUAAAAAUAAUGGUAACAAAGACUUAUGUUGAGAAAUUUGAUUGAAGUGUAAACUUUGGAAUGUGGUAAUUAAAGAUGGAAGCUAUCUUAAUUCAGGAUGGCUUAGAUAUAGCGCUGGAAGAAGAGGAGAUGAAGACAGAAAAUAUGACAGAUGCAGAGUUUGAAGAAUCAUUUUAAACCUCUCAAAUGAGGUUUUACGAUAAGUAUCUGCAGAAGGCAUAUCCUAUAUAUGAAAGAGCAGUGGAAAAUAGGCUUUUACUUAAAGCGAAAGCUUUAUACAUUUUGUAUGGUUGAAGGUACAUCUAUUCUCUCAUAUCUUGAUGCAUUUGAUUCUCUUCUUAUGGAUUUGAGUAAUAUAGGCACUGAAGUUAAUAACGAAGAUCAAGUCGUCUUAUUACUUAUUUCCUUACCCCAAUCAUUUAAGCAUAUUAGAGAUACUAUGAUUUACGGAAAAGAUAAUAUCUCUUAUAGAAAAUCAAAUCUAUCUUGAAAUCAAACGAACAGAUAGAUAGAGAUAUUACUGAGGAAAGUAGUGGAACCCAUGAGGAAGGAUUGUUUUUAAGAGGUAGAUCUAAUAAGAAUGAAUUAAAUAGCGAGAGGUCUAAAUCAAGGUCAAAGUCUAGAUAUAGAAAUGUAGUGUGCAAAUAUUAUCAUAAAAAAGGUCAUAUUAUUUCUGUUUGCUAUAAGUUGACAAACAAAGAAAAGCAUAAGAAAAACAAAAAUGAGCACCAGAAGAAUGAUCUCGCUAAAGCAAGUGUAGUUGCCGAUGAAUCUGAGAGAACAAUAUUUUUGGCUACUAGUAAUAUUUUUAAAUCUAAUGAUGAAUAGAUUUUGGAUUCGGGUUGCUCUUAUCAUAUGUAUACUAAUAGGGAUUUAUUUACCACAUUUGAAUUUGUUGGAGGUGGAGUUGUCUUGAUAGGCAACAAUACUCUCUGAAAUUUUUUUAGUAAAGAUACAGUCCAAAUUAGAAUGCACAAUGGUGUGGUGAGAACUCUCACAAAUGUUAGAUAUGUUCCUGAUUUAAAGAAAAAUCUUAUCUCGCCGGGCACUAUAGAAUCUCUUUGGUGCAAAUACACCCGUGAAGGUGGAGUUCUAAAAAUAACUUUAGAUUCUCUUUUGAUCAUAAAAGCACACAGAUUUGGUACAUUGUAAACUUUAUUGGGAUCCACUGUCACAGGUUCUGCUAUAAUUUCCACUUCAAAUAAAUCUGAUUCUGACAUCACCAAAUUAUGGCAUAUGCGAUUAGGGCAUAUGAGUGAAAAAGGUCUUUACAUCCUCAGCAAAAGAGGUCUUAUAAGUGGACAAAGUACUAAAAAUAUGGAGUUUAGUGAACACUGUGGGUUUGGAAAGUAUAAAAAUCUCAGCUUUAAAUCUGCAAUAAUUCCUCAAACAAAAGGUACUAUAGACUACAUUCAUUCAGAUGUUUGGCGUCCUUCUCGUACCCCAUCAAAAGAUAGUGCCAGGUGUAUGUUAACUUUCAUUGAUGAUUAUUCAAGGAAAGUUUGGGUUUAUUUCCUGAAAAAUAAAAGUGAUGUUUUCUUAACUUUCAAACAAUGGAAAGUUUUGAUUAUGAAGAAAUAGAAAAACAGGUCAAGCAGCUUAGAACAGAUAAUGGCUUGGAAUUUUGUAAUGAUGAGUUCAAUGAAUUUUGCAAAAAUGAAGAAAUAGCUCGACAUCACACUGUAAGGAUGACCCCUUAGAAAAAUGGUGUUGCAGAAAGGUUGAACAAAACCCUUUUAGAAAAAGCUCAUUGCAUGAUUUCAAAUGCUGGAUUGACAAAUACUUUUUGGGCAGAGGCUAUUUCUACAGCUUGUUAUAUUGUCAAUCGUGCUCCUUCUGCACCUUUGAACUUUAAAACUCCAUAGGAAGUAUGGUUAGGUACACCUACUAAUUAUUCUGAUUUAAAAUUUUUUGGUUGUCCUGCGUACAUACAUGUGAAUGAUGGAAAAUUAGAGCCAAGGGCUAAAAAAUAUAUUUUCCUUGGAUAUGCAUAUGGGAUGAAAGGAUAUAGGAUCUGUUGUCCUAAUCUUAAGACACCAAAAUUUAUAAUUAGUAGAAAUGUAACCUUUGAUGAAUCCUCUAUGUUACAUCCCAGAAAAGAGUUGUCUAGUUCUUGUAAUAAGAACAAAGAGCAGGGUGUACAUGGGCAGGUGAAGGUGGAGCUUGGCAUUCCUUCUAAGACAAGCUCAUCAAUUGUGAAACAAAAUACAGUUGAAACUUUAGAAGUUGAAGUUUCGAAAGUUGAGUAAGAAGUUAUAACUUCUGAAGUUGUACCAAAUGAGUAUUCUAUAGCCAAACACAGAGCAAGGAAAUAAAUUCAAAAACCAAAAAAGUAUGGAGAUUAUUUUGCAUUUGCUUUUUAAGUUACACAAAAAACUUAAGAAAUUAGAGAACCAUCAAAUUAUUUAAAAGCAGUUUCUGGUGCAGAUUCAGCUAAGUGGCUGAUUACAAUGAAUGAAUAAAUUGAAUCUAUUCAUAAGAAUGGUACUUGGUCUCUUGUGAAGCCGCCAUCAGGAAAGAGAAUUGUUGGUUGCAAAUGGUUCUUCAAGAAAAAGGAUGGAAUUCCAAGAGUUAAAGAUGCAAGGUAUAAGACGCGAUUAGUUGAAAAGAGCUAUAGUCAAGUACAAGGAGUUAAAUUUAAUAAUAUUUUCUCACCUUUGUUAAACAUAUCUCUAUUUGUGUCUUCCUUGCCUUAGUUUCCAUGUAUGAUUUGGAAUUAAUUAGAACAACUUGAUGUUAAGAGAAAUUUCUUUCUUACAUGGAGAACUUGAGGAAUAAAUAUACAUGCAUCAACCUGAAGGAUUUGAAAUUGAAGGAAAAGAAGAUCAUAUUUGCUUGUUGAAGAAAUCCUUGUAUGGAUUAAAACAGUCUCCAAGAUAAUGGUACAAAAGGUUUGAUUCCUUUAUGUGGGGUCAAGGUUAUUCGAGGAGCAUAUAUGAAAGUUGUGUUUACUUUCAAAAGUUAAAUGAUGGUUCAUUUGUUUACGUACUAUAUUUGGCAAAAGUGCACAAUUUGAAAAAUGAACUGAAAAGUGAAUUUGGAAUGAAAGAUUUGGGUGCAGCUAAGAAAAUCCUUUCUAUGGAGAUCAAAAGAGACCGAGGAUCCAAAAAACUAUUCUUAACCCAGAAGUAGUACUUGGACAGGUUUGGCAUAAAAGAUGCUAAACCGUGAGUACUCCUCUUGCUGCUCAUUUUAAGUUAUCAGCUCUUCAAUCACCACAGUCAGAGGAAGAAGAGAAUUAUAUGGCAUAUGUACCAUAUUCUAGUGCAGUUGGCAGUAAUAUGUAUGCAAUGGUGUGUACACGUCCUGAAAUUUCACGAGCAGUUAGUAUUGUAAGUCAUUAUAUGGCUUAUAUUGGUAAAAUUCAUUGGCAGGCUAUGGAAUGGAUUCUCAGAUACUUGCAAGGUACUUCCAAUGCAUGUGUGGAGUUUGAAAAAAAUACUAACAUUUUAGUUGGUUUCGUAGACUCUGAUUAUGUAGGUGAUCUUGAAAACAGGAUACGAUCCUAGCCACGAGGACUCAAAUCUAGACACGAAAAAAUAAAGAUAGAGGGAUAGGAUAGUGAUGAUAGAAAGAUAGACACAAAAUUAAUAACAAAAGGGCAAUCUAAGGGUAUGUCAAACCCUAAAACCUCCCUUAAUGGAUUAUCAAUGAGCACCUAGCUCUUACGUGACCGGAAAGGGGCUUCGAUACUCCUUACAACCAAGGGUAUGUCAAACCCUAAAACCUACCUUAAUGGAUUAUCAAUGAGCACCUAGCUCUUACGUGACCGGAAAGGGGCUUCGAUACUCCUUACAACCAACGUUUCUAAACAAGGUUCAACAUAUGAUUUUCCAAGCACUCAAACACUCCCAUAAAGUUCUCAUUAAUAAAUCAUGUGAAUUAAUCAACAAAAAUAACUAAUGAAAUGUCUAAGGCACACCUAUUUAUAGUAAUUUCCUUUGCAAAACUAGCCUAUUACAAAAAUAGCCCAAAGUUGGCUAUUUCAAAAAUAAACCACAAGGGCUUUCUUUAUUCCUGCACCAUGGGUUUCCUCGACUCCAAGCUAUCUUCCAAACAUGACAUUACUUUAUUAAGAGCUCGAAGAAGGGCCUCCAAGAACAUUCUUGGAUACUUAGGGUGAUCAAGGCUUGGACCUCCUCAUGUUGGCCUUGAGUUGUGUUAUCAAAAGCAUUGAUGCCCAUUUGACUUGUAUCAUCCUCCCCUUCUUGAAAAGUAUUCGACCUUGAAUCCAAACCUUGAAAAAUCAAAGGAACGACAAACAAAUGCAAAUUUCUCAUGGCAUGAGGGUUAGGAUUAAAAUAAGCAAUCAUUUCAUCAUGCCAAGGUUGCACACACUUAAGAUAUAAUAAAGGAUCCUUCGUGUUAAUCAUUAAAAACUUGUUGAAAAAUGCACAAAGGAGUUGGAUAUGGGAAUCACCAAGAGGUUAGGAAACCACAAGUGUUAUAAUGGCAUCACUAAAUCUAAAAGGUAAGGUUACCUUCACCUUAGGAAUCAUAAGACUGUAAUGCCCCAAAAUCUUAUCCCGGAACGUCACACGGUGUUUAAGGCUACAAGUAGCCCCAAGCUAACCCUUUGAGCCUGUUACUACUUCUACCACUUACUUUAGGAUGCACCAAACAAUAAAUAUUAUAUUAUAUCAAAAUAGAAAUGAAAUCAUUUAAAAUAAAUGCCUGUAUAUCAAAUAUUGGAAAUCUAGAACAAAACUUCAACUGACAGUCUGACAAGCCUCUACUUACUAGGAACUAGAGAGCCAUUGGGACAAACCCCCAACUGACUCAACUGGACUAAAAAGAAAUAAUCAACUACUAUAAAGACUGAAAACAAGGGAUUAGGUCCUCAAACCAUAAGGACUCAUCAACUGUUGACGUAUAGAUAAAGGUACUCAAAGAUCACUGUCACUGCUAAGACUGAGCACCUGAACCUACAUUAUGAGACAAUGUAGCACAUAGACGUAUAUGUGGAUCAGUACUUUGAGGAUGUACUAAUUAUAUGGGGUUUUAUGUAAUACUUAAAACAACAAUAUCAUCAAUAUUUAUAAAAAUCAUACAUGCUGAUAUAACUAACCCACAUAGCUUGAAUAAUCUAAAAAAAAUAUAUAUCUCAUAAAUUAUGAAUAAUGGAAUUCAUAGUAUAAAUCUCGUGAGUCAAUAUACUAUUUCUAAAAUCUAAAGUAAACAUUAUUUGAAUAAGUUUGUGAGCCUUUACAGUUAGUAUAGUAGAGGCUUCACAGAUCUCAACAUACUCUUGUACUUCAAUUUCUAAAACAUUGAAACCGUCAUAAUCUCAAGAAAUAAUAAAAUAGGGUAUAAACCCAUACUUCAAUUUUAUAAGAAAACAUGUAAAACCAUAUAUCUUUUUAAUUAAAACAACUUUUGGGCACAAGGACGAAAAGAGUGUCUUUGUUCAAACCCUACAUACCUUAGAUUAUGAAUUUAGAUGAACAAUCUUGCUUGAGACUCUUUUUCGUACUCUUGAGUGAGGGUUCUUGAAGCUUUUGACUUGGGAACCUUUUCUUAAAUAAAUUUGCAAAAACUAUGGUAAAAUCUUGGAAAAUAAAUUGGGUCUUGCUCUUGAGGGUUAAUCUUGAGAGAAAACCCUAGUUCUUGAUGCCUUGGAUAAAUCUGAAGUUCUAUCCUUCGUUUUGAUAUAUUUGGGUGUUAAAAAGGUUGGAAAGAGACCAAAAAGUUCUUUUAAAAAUAGUGCUGAUUAAAAAUGGUGCUGAAUGAGAUCUGCGAUGGCUCGUGCGAUGGUCCGUCACUGGCUCAACGAUCCAUCGGUCUGACCAUCGCACCUGGGCCAGAACAGGGACUUACUGCCUUAGUUGCGACGGCUUGGGUGACGGUCCGUCGCUAGCUUGAUGGUCUAUUUUCCUGACCGUCGCACUUGGAUAGUGAAUGGGUCUACUACCUCGGUUGCAACGAUCGGAGCGGCGGUCCAUCGCUUGCACGACGGUCCAUUAGCCUGCCCGUCGCUCUUGGGUAGUUCGGAUAGUUCUCUGUAAAAUAUCCAUAACGUUUUACUCCGAUACCGGAUUUGGGUGAAAUUGGUAUCGUUGGAAAGCUAAUUUAAUUUUCUCCAAGAUAAAAACUCGAAAUUAGUAAAAGUCUAUAUGAUUUAAACACUACUCUCUUUAGAAGUCAUUCCUUAAUCUUAUAAAAAUACAAUUUAGGCUUAAGGAAAGUCCGGGGUAUUACAAAGACACAAUUGCUUUAUCACCUCUUUAAGAAACCAUAUCAAGAGUGGUGCCUCAAUUGAUAUUAAAGUCCAUAAGAUGCAUAUAGCAGUGUCACUCAAACAAGUAGACCAACCAACACAUUUUCUACCUUUACAUAAUACAAAUCCAAAACUAAAAUGUAUGUCAUCAUAGGCAAAGAGGUACUAUAGGAAGGAGUUAAGUAUAAAGGCAUCAUCCUAGGCGCUAUCAUCUAUAAGAUUGCCAUUUAUAUCAAAAGAUAGAGCAUAUAAGGAACACAAGGAUGGAAUCAAGACAUUUAAGCAUAUAUGACUUCUUUCUUUCAAGUAAAUCAUCAACUUGGCAUCCACAAGUUGGGAUUCAUGAAAAUUAAGCACAAGUGUGUCAAACAAGAAUGCAAAGUUAUAAGCAACAACCAAAGGAGACAAUGACAUAUUUUCCCUUGGGUUUUCAAGAAUGAUACCACCUUUGAGAAAUAGGUCAUCAUCUCUACUCACAUAAUGAGGAAGGGUAUUACACGAAUAGAGUUCAUCCAAAGUAUUUUCAAUGGAAGACUCUCCUUGAUCUACAGGUGGUGAAACCUUUGUAAAGAAGGGAAACACACAAUGGUGAACUCUCUUGGAGCAUUUCAUGAAUCCUCUUUAUUAAAAACCCUUUAUCUUGGUUGAAGUUCUUUCCCUUACACAAUGUUGGUCCCUCAAGUGGAUUGUGAAUCCCUGAGAAAGACUUCUCAUCAUAGGGAAGGAUACCAACACCCUCAUUCAAACUUUNNNNNNNNNNNNNNNNNNNNUGUUCAAUAAUCACCAUACCCAAAUUUGGCACCGGAGUCAAAUGGAAAUAGUGUCCAUAGACAUGGGUCUAGACAACACUCUUUUCCCCACUAGCUUCACCCAAACUAAAAGAUAUGCUCUCCUUAUUAGCAUAAACAUCAUCAAAAACAAAGGGAGAGUAGAAAAAUAUAUCACUCAAGUCCACUUCAACUAAGGUUCCCUUAUACAUGUGCUUACUAUUAGAUUCAAAAUCAUCACCAUGAGUAUUCUCAACAAUAAGGUCACACAAAGUAGAAGAGGAAGAAAUUUCCAAACAAUUGACACUUUCUGUUGCAAUGGAGGAAUUCCUAAGUUGACACAUUCCACCACCAAUAUCAAAGGGAUUAUUACUUAGGAUUUCACAAGAAGUAAACAAUUCAUCCUUAUAAGUAUCAAACAAAGGUGGAGUAUUAUAUAAAGGAUCACAUCCACAAUCAUUUUCUAAGGAACAAAUACUUAUUGGGUUUCUUAAAGAUUUAAGAAAAUCAAAGUUAUCAUCACCUAAGUGAUUAUUCCUUUCUAAGACUUCAUAUUCCUUUCCCUUAAGAGUAUUUUCAUCUUCCAAGAAGAGAUUUUGAUCUUUUGAAGGAAUGUUGUCACACCAUAGUGGGUUGUCAUAUAAAAUGUAGCCCUCAAGAUGAGCUAUAUCAGCAAUGCUAUCCAACCAUUAGGUAAUUCACUAGGAGUGAGCUUAUCAUCUUUAAACAAGAUAUUGUUCUUAAAGAGAGAAAGAUCUAUCCAUAACAAGGAUAUAGAGCAUGCAAGUCCAUUCUCUAAAAGACCAUUAUCAAGUAGCAAAUAUGUUUCAAGUCUAUGAUUAUCCCUAUGAUCCAAACAAGCAUUAGGAUCUUCACUAAAAGACAAGCUCAAAGGGUCACUCCCAUUUUCUUAACCAAUAUUCUCAAUUUCAUAACUCUCUUGAGGUUCUCUAAUCACAUUACACACAUCCACAAGUGGAGGACUAGUUUCACACACAAGUUGAUCAACACAAUUUCCAUAAGAUGAUGUACUAUCAUUCAACACAAUCACUUUAACACUAGGUGGACACAAAUUGAUCUUACAAGAAGAGUAAAUUCAGUCAUCAAUAGGAUCAACUAGUGUAUUCACACUCACAAUAUGUACAUUAUUAUCAAGAGGCAAAUAAUUAAUAGACUCACAUGUAGGUAAGCUACUACUUACACUCAAUGGGCUACUAGCCACACAAUCAUCAUUCAUAUGCACAAAAGCAUAAGAGUUAGCUAUGUUACCUUAAAGUUCUUGAUCAUAUUCUUCUUUACCUUAGUAUGACGGUCCUCCAUAAGACUCGAAAGCAUCUAAAAUUUCCCUCAUAAAAUCUUCUAAGGGAACCUUCUCUUUUAGUACUUAUUCCCCUCUUCUUGCUAUAUUGGUACCUAUACACAUGUCCAUAUUAAUAGAAGGACAAAUAAUGUUAGCUCUUGUUGGUGAUAAACCUCUCACUUUACUCUUCAUAACCUCUCUUUCUUCCUCUCUUAGAUUUCCACAUUGCAUACCCUUACUCUUCUCAAUCUUUUAUCUCUCAUUUUUAUAAGGCUUGGAGUAAGUGGUUAUCUUUUCUUGAGAUUUAGGAAGGGUGGGUGGAAAGAAAUGAUUUCCCCAUUGGUCCUUUGCAAACUUAGACCAAUUUUACAUAUUUGGAAUCUUGUGUUGUGAAAACCUAUCAACACCCAAAUAUAUGUUUCCAUAUUCUAAUGGGAAUAUGUCGCACCACACUUCCUCAUAGUACCCAUCUCGGGUGAAGAAAACCUUCAUGCUCUCGAAGACUCUAUAGCCUUCUAAGAAGUAUGGGAAACUCUUUGACACUAGAGGUAUCCCUAGAUAAUCAAACAUAAGAGGAGUUAUGUAGUUUGUAUGAAACCAAUCAUCAAGUAUAAGAACACAUCUCGGAACUCCACAAAUAUCUACCCAUCUUGAACAAGUUGGUUUUCUUGGAUCACUAUUAUAAAGCUUCAUGUAACCCUUGGGCACAUAGAUUGUCCUCAAGAACUCUUUUAAGGCACCCCAUGUUUGCAUAGGAUUCCUUCCAAGUUUACACCAUUCUAUGGUCGGACCUUGAAAGUACUUAAGGGCAUAUGUGGCUUGUUCGGCUUCGCUCAUAACAUAAUCCUCAAAGAUUCUUUCACAUUGUCAUUCCCAAUCAAGGUAAAUUUUGGGAUCUUGUUCUCCUUUAAAGAUGGAUAGAGUAGGAAGACAAUGACUACUACUAUGCCCUCUAUUUCUACCUUGGUUCCUGCUUCUACACGUUUGGGUACUAGAACAAAAAGUUUGAGAUGUAACAUCCCUGGGUUUUGGAGAUGCAAAUUUCUUUAGUCCCAUGGAGCAACCUCUACUAUAGCUAGUAUAACCAUUCAUACCACUUCGAUUUUAAUAAGAAGCACUAUAAGGUGAGGAAUAUGGCUUCAUAAUCCUUAUGUACAUUCUCACCACAAUCCUCAUUAGAUUUUUAAAUGAACAAGUUAUACCUUACAUCACCUCUAGGCUUGGGGUGGGAAGUGUAAUACUCCUCACAUGCCCCAUCUUCCUUACAAGAACCAUCACAAGGCUCUUCAUUAUCUCCAUACUCACUAUAAGAACUAGGAUCAUAAUUCAUAUCAUAUUCUCCUUUGGAAUAGUACCCCUCAUUUUCAUCCAUCUCUUGAUCAUGGCUACAUUCAUAUCCCCCAUAUUCUCCAUUAUCUUCGUAGCCAUAACAUUAUUUACCACAAUUAUAGUUUUCUAUGUCAUAGUCAAAAUUAUUUGAGGCUAUCGAAGACAUGUUCCCCUUAUAUCCCUUGAACCUACAAAAUGAACAAACAAGAUUAGUAGUAAAGCUUCUCACAACACUCAGAAUAAUCUCACCUUUGUGAUCCUCACAAUUGGAGCAGCGAAUGUUGAAAGUUGCUUAUACUUUGGUGGAUGAUAAGGUGUCAAUCUAUACUUUGUGUCCAGAGUGGAUCUUGUUUGAAAUUAAAAAUAAAACUCAAAUACAAACUAUCAUACUUGAAUUAAGAAGAAGGUUCAACGAAAAUAAAAGAGAAAAGCACACAAGAACAAACAAGAAAGGAAUCAGACUCAAGAACUAAUUAAUCAACUAAUAGAUCAAUUAUUAGUGUUAGUUAGUGUUUAGGAAUCAAAAUAUGAAGUUAAGAAUCAAGAAAUGAAGUUAGAUUGACCAAACCUUGCAAAAAGUGAGUAGGAAGGCUUCCUAUGCACUUGGAACAAGUUGUAGUAGAUUAGGAGUAGACCCAAUGCACCUUGAGAGUAGGUGGGGUGCAAGAGCUACUGUUUUGGGCUGCCUACGACCUGAUUUAGCAGUUCAGGUGCAGCUCCAAGGCAUCUUAGGUGCAGGUCAGCCGAACCAACCUCUUGAAUGGGCGAAAAUGCCUCUUUGUUGUGGUCCCUCUUUUGUCCUCUUCUCUUCAAAUAUUCUUUGGUACUUUGGAUAGGCUUUGUACCAACACUUUUGCACACUUUUUACUUCACUUUAUUGGAUUAAACAAUAACUUUUUGAUAAAGAUUCAACAUGAAGAUAUGAAUCUUCUCAAGAACACCAAGAAAAUUUUGAAAAUCCAAAAUGUAUAACUUCUUUGGUUUGGCUUGGAAUUCCACGAAAUUUUAACUGUAGGCUCCUAUCAACAUAAGGAAUACAUUGCAGCGACCUUUAUCCCUCAAAAUAUCACAAAAAUUUCUAGAUUUUCAAACACAAUAUUAUUUUCUCCAACCUUCAAUACCAUAAAAAUGGUGAUUUUUUUGAACCUCACCAAAUGGCACCAUCUUUUAACCCUAAGCUUCUCUCAACGCUGGGAACACUUUUUUAACUUCUUCAACUUAAAAUUUCAAGACAACAAGGGUGGGAGCUUCUCAAAAGCAUACAAUCAAGCUACAAAUCUCAAGGUUCCGACCUCAAUAACACUAGAGGGAACAAAUCUAGUAUAGAUACAACAAAAAAGGACCCAAAACACAAUUUUUAGGGGAUUUUCUUAAAAACAUUUAUUUUUCGAGAUAAUAAACCCAAGACUUGAAUCUUGGGAAUGAUCCUAAGCUCAGCUAUGAUUCCAAAUGAUACGAUUCUAGCCAUGAGUACUAGAAUCUAGAUGCAGAAUAAUAAAGAUAGAGGGAUAGGAUAGUGAUGAUAGAAAGAUAGACACAAAAUUGAUAACAAAGGGCAAUCUAAGGGUAUGUCAAACCCUAAAACCUCCCUUAAUGGAUUAUCAUUGUUUUUUUUUCCUUUUGUCUUUCCUUUACAGUAUUUUGUAAGAGAGUGAGUGUUGAAAAAUACUUGUGUGAAUCCUUUCUUGGAGUGAUCUUGUGAGUUUACUCUUUUGGGAUAAUUUUGGAUUGAUUACAGUAUUUACUCUAAUUUUGUACUCUCUCUUGUACUCUUCUUGUUGGUAUAGUGAAAUUGCUCCUCUUCGCUUGUGGACAUAGGUCACACUGACUGAACCACAUUAAAUCUGUGUCUUAUUUAUUUUUAAUUGUUGUUAUUAUUCUUGUUAUUGUCUUUGUUAUUAUCAUUAUACUAGUGUUGGCUAAAUUCCGCAAUAACCAGGUUUGCGAUCCUAACAAGGCAAGAUAUUGAAAAUGUCAAUAGGUACAUCUACUUUGCAAAUCAACUCCUUGAUGUUACUCGUGAAGAGGGUCUUAAUCCAAUUAUGAAUAUAAAAGCUGAUUAGAUGACAAAAUGGAGAACUUAAGAACUUUUGUACACAAACCUUCUGCUUCUAUCGAAUAACUAGAGUUUGAUCGACAAUAUUGACAAUCUUUAGUAUUUUUUCCGAAGUUAUCCAGUUGGUAGACACAUUAUGAUGGAAGAAUUUAUCCCCAAAAUUUAAGAAAGAGAGGGAAAUCCAAGCAGUAUAUCAUGUCUUAACAAAGUACUCAUUUGUACAACAUUUUUAGUAAGGAGUAAACAUGGAAAAAAAUGCUGCAAAAUUGGCUAUGACAAUAUGGAUAUUUGAUCCUCUAUUACAUCAACUCUUUUCUCUUCCAUCACUCUCAAAGAUGUUUUAUUCCUUCAACUCUGCAUCUGAGGAAAGCAGAAGGGACUUGGAGGUUGGAUUUUUUUCCAGAUCAAAUAGUUCUAGUUGGAUAGAUAGAGGUUAUGAAAUGUAACCUUUGAAUUCUUACCGUGAGUAAAUCCUAUCAACUGGACUCUUCUAAAAUUACGUAAGUAAAGAGAAAGAGAUUUUAUCCUUAUGUUCCUAACAAGGCAUCAAUUUUGAACUGGAGUUACCCGCAACAAAUCUAAAGUUUUAGAAUUUGCAAAAGAAAAAUGGCCAGUAGAAGGUAUGAAUGAAAGAAAUAAAAAAGCUUUUCUUGUCAAACUAAAAUAUCUUAGUAGAUAAGGGAGGGCAAAUCAAAUGAGACCUGAGACCUCAUCAGUAAUGGUGAGUGAGAGCACAUUUGGGGGUUUGAAUAACUAAAAAGAAAAGAUCUAGGUAUGAGCAAGGAGGAUUGAUCUCUCUACUGAGCACAGAGGAACUUAAAUAUACAACCAACAUAGGCUACUAUUCCUAGGUCUUUUCUCUUUACUUUUUCUUCACAUCUCCAAUUCGCUAACGCGCUAAUGAGCUCUCAAUUGAUUUCCCUUCCUUUUGCUAUUUUAAUGUUUUGGUUCAUAAAGAAAAGUUUUUUUUAUCUUUCUUUCAUCCAUACCUUCGGCUAGCCAAGAAAAUUCUAAAGCUUUUGGACUAAUUCCAGUUCAAAAUUGAUGCCCCGUUGGGAACAUGAGUGAAAUCUUUCACUUUACUUACACUAUUUCAGAAGAGUCUAGGUGAUAGGAUUCUCUCACAUGAACAGUCCCCCCCCCUCCCCCCCCAAUAUCCAAUAUCCUGAUCUAACAAAAUAAAAUAUUCUCUCACAUAAAGCAUAGUAUGGAUAGGUAUUUAAAGCGCUACUACUUUUCUAUUUCCAUUCUAAUUCAGGACUCUUGAAGGGUAAAGUUGCAGCCCAAUAUUUAUACCAAACAAUAAAUGCAUUCAUUGUUUGAUACACGUAUCAACUGCAUCACUCAAAUAUUUGUAUUAACAUAAAAUCUUGUAUCAGCCUCUAUGUAUUGAAUAUAGCCUAUAUUUCUAUAUUUCUAUAGCCCACAUGAAUACAAGCAAUAUAGGAGUGAAAUAAAUACUAGUUAUACUGCUGUAUCAUACUGUAUGUAUCAAAUACAACCUGUAUCAACAUGUAUUUAUGUAUUUCUGUAUUGCGAAUGAAUACAAGUAAUAAAACUUGUAUGUAUCAAACUGUAUUAAUCGAUACAACCUAUAGCUAGCAUCUUUUCUCCCUUUCACCCAAAUCUCGCUCACCUCUCUCCUCCUUCUCUCUCAAUCUCUCCUCUCUACUCUCUCAAACUAUUGUUAUGAAUGGUGAAUCUCCAAGAUAUUGGUAUAGAUUCCUAAUUAGACCCAAACUGUAGCCAUUUUUGAAAGUUCCUUAUUAAAAAUGGCAGCUUGAAAUGUAACAAGCAUAUCAAUUGAGGAGAAUCAGUAGAAUCCAAUACCCUGAUCUAAUACAAUAAAAUAUUCUGGUCUUCAAUAGGUAAUUGUUUUUUUUAUGUUCUAAUAGCAAAUUGAAAUUUGAAUGAAUAAGAUUGUACAUUUAAGUUCAUUCAAUGCUCGGUAUUUAAGGUGGGGAUACCAAUUCUCCUUACUCGUUCCUAGGUCUUUUCUCUGUUCUUUUUUCUUCACAUUUCCAAUCCGCUCACACGCUAACAAGCUCUCAAUUGAUUUCUCUUCCUUUUUCUACAGAGAUGUUUUUGUUCAUGAAGAAAAUGUUUGUCUUCUUUCAUCCAUACCUUCGGCUAGCCAAGUAAAUUCUAAAGCUUUUGGACUAAUUUUAGUUCAAAAUUGAUGCCCCGUUGGGAACAAAAGGAGUGAAUAUAUUUCACUUUACUUACACUAUUUUAUAAGAGUCUAGGUGAUAGGAUUCUCUCACAUGAAGAGCCCCCCACCCUCACCCCCAAUAAAAUAAACUUCAUAUUCCCAUGCUUCUUCUUCUUUCCUCAGAUGUAGAACCGAAAGAACCAUGCCUUUUUUCUUAGAAAAUACUCAACUUUCUCUCUUCAAAAUUUUUAUUUUGAUUCGUUUAUGGGAUAUUAUCGACUAUUACCUGAACAAAUUAAGGAAAUAAUUAUGCUCUUUGCAAUUCUUCUACAAGUUAAAGAUAGUUCUUCUCACCAUAAUAAAAUUUACUCUUUUCUAUAACUUUUUUCCUUUUAUUUUUUUGAAAAAAUGAUAUAAAACAUCUCUGAGAGUGAUGGAAGAGAAAAAAGUUGUUGCAACAGAGCUAGGAUUAAAUAUCCAAAUGGACAACCAAUUUUUUUAGCAUUUUCCGUGUUUAUUCCUUACUAAAAAUGCUGCACAAAUGAGUACUUUUUCUGAGACAUAGUAUACUGCUUGAAGUACCCUUCACUACUUAAAUUUUGGCUAUAAAUUCUUCUAUUGUGAAGUGGAUAACCACCAGAUACUUUUAGACAAACUACAUGAGCUUUUGAAUAUUGUCGAUCAAAUUCUAGCCAAUCGGCAAAAGUAGAAGUUUUCAAUGAGAAAGUUCUGGAUAAGUUUUCCAUCCUAUGAUCUGAUCAUUUCUUAUGUUCAUUAUUGGAUUAAGACCCCGUCAUGAGUGCAAAUCAGGGAGUUGAUUUUAAAAGUAGAGGGAAUUGUUGAUAGUUUCAACAUCUUGCCCGAAUAAAUCUUUGUUGCUAAAGAACUAAACGUUCUUUAUUUACACAGAAGUUUGAAUUGCCCCUAAUGAAAUAAAUUUUUCAUCUUUGUGAAAGUUAGUACUAUCGGAUGCAUAUUUGGACGAGCAAUUUGUUCGAGUUUAAUGUGCAUCCUGCAACUGUUUAGAGAAUUUAAGGUUUCCUGUUGUCAAGUACUAUCAACUUUGCAAAUUGCAAAAUCUUUGUAACAACUAAUUAAAGAUUGUUUGACUAACAUGUCUUUUUGAAUACGAGAUAGUUGGUAUUGUAGCACCAAAUCUUGAACAUCUUUGCAUAGUUAUCUUGUUGUUAAGUACUACCCACUUUGCAAAUUGCAAAAAUCUUUGAAACAACUAUUUAAAGACGGUUUGACUAAUAUAUCUUCCUGAAUUCCAGAUAGUUGAUAUUGUAACACCAAAUCUUGAACAUUUUUGCAUUUAAAGUCAUCACUAGAAUCUACAAAUAAUUAGAAUAACGUGUUGCAAAGUCUCAAAAAAUUUGUAUCUCGUCGAUGUGAAUGAUAUUAUGGAUGGUUAGUAGACCUUUUUUUUUCAAUCAAUCUAACCUUGAACGCUUAUCCUUAUCCUUAUCCGGUUGCUUAAUUUGCAGAAAAUCUAGAUCUUAAGUGUCUGGCUUAAGUAUCUUGCACUAACCUCGUGCUUAGAAUUGCUUGAUGUUGAACUAGAUACUCCUAAUUUGACAAGCUUCACAUAUGGGUGUGGUGAUAAAUUGUCAACACUGAAACUUAUGAAAGCUUCAGUUUUACUACAAGUAGUGAGCUCAAAUUGUUCACAGGAGAAAGACUUGAUAGUCAUUGGUACUCUAUGCUCAUGACAUAUCAUAGAAACAUCAAGCGGGCAAUAGUUAUUAAGUUACUAUGCUACAACAUGGAUGCGAUUACCAAAAAAAUAAGAAAAAACUUGGUUCUUCCACUCUAUGGUAUUACUGAUAACUUGCAUAUAAAAGUUGUAACUUUGGGGAAUUACUCACUUGUGGAUGCUCUUGAUAGUUUUCUUUGGAUUUCUCCUUGACGACGCCCUAACUUGUGUGGUUCUAGACUUAUGCAGUACCUUGCAACUUACAUGAAUCUGCAUCAAUUGAAGAUGAGAAACUUUAAAUGGGUAUAAAAGUCACUAAAUGCAAGAAAGAAACUGAAUUUUGAUCAAAUCAUUCACAAUAAUUAUAUUCAAAUUCAAGAUUCGAGAACCAAAACAACUCUGAUAAAUUGGAUAUCUCUGAAACGGGCAUAAAAUUUACUAAAAGAAAGAAAAGACCCUAGCUUUGAUCAUCUCAAACACAAUCUUUAUCUUCAAAUUCAAGUUCUAUGACUCAAACAAACAAUUGGGUAUCUCUAAAAGAACUCAAUUUUGAUAAACUCAUUAAUUCUUGAAAACAAACUCGACCACUUUCUAUAAGAAGAAUGCUAGAAUAAAGAAUUACCUGGCAAAAAAUUAAGAGUUGGAAGUGAAGCACAGCAGCAGCUGCUGUUGGUAAAAGAAAAGAAGAAGCCAGUUGAGCUGUUCUAAUCUAUAUAUAAUAUAAAGGAGAGUCAUGGACAAGGUGAUGUGACACCUCUAUAUGACCUUCAUUUUUAUUUAUCCCUUUUUAUAUAUUUUUUAAUCUUAAAUGUCUAAAUAUUUUGGUUAAUCAUUUAUUCUUCUUCAAUAAUUAGUGUAAUUAAUUUGUAUUAAUUUUAUUAGCAAACUUUAUAAUUUUUCUAUCUCCACACGUCAAAGAUGAUCACUAACUAUUUUUUUAACUUUUCAUCUUCUCCUUUAAUUAUUUAUACUCUUUGACGACAUUCAACUUUUUCCUAUCAAUUGUGGAGGAGAAGCCAUUUCUUUUCUUCAUAAUCCCUAUAAAUCUUUAGCUAUUUAUGUUAUGGAGAAUAUUUUUUUCACCAAUUGCCUCCUUUUUGAUGUGGUUGUUUUCGUAUUUUUGAAGCUUGAUAUAAUGUUUUAUGAAAAAUAAAUCUAUUAAGAAUAGUGAAAAAAACCUAAACCCUAUCACUGUCGGCGAUGAUUGCUAACUCUGUCGGUGGGGUAAUCCCAUUGGAAAAUUUUCCAUCUUUACCAUUAAAAAAUCCCUUAAAAGAUACUUUACCUAUACCUCUAUCCCAAACUCAAACAACCAAUGAUUCAUAGAUUCAAUUUGCUAGUUUAUUUAAACACAAAACUACAACAAGUUCAGCCACCAGGGUACCCACAAAACCAGUUGUUAUGUUGCAUGGAAAAUCCAACAUUACUUGGAAAUCGUCAGAGGUCAAGUCUCUUAUUGCUCAGGAAAACCUACAAAGCCAAUGUGGUAUUAAACAGGAAUGUACAAUUGGAGCAUUGGAUUCCAGACAGAUAUAAAUUAGAUACCAUCCUUGAAGAUUAUGUUCAGAUGUUAUCAACAACUGCUUUUUAUGUGAAAGCGAGGGAAAGAUAUUGGCAGAUGAGAACUCUUAAAUAGGAUCCUUGAUUUGAACCUGAUGUUGAAACUAUAAUUGGAGUGGCAUGGAUAUCACUUUCAGAUUUACCACCUAAUUUCUUUGCAAGGAAUCAGAUAGACCUAGUUGUGCCAAUAUUAAGAUUGAAGUGGAUCUAGUGGCACAGUUACCACAAUGUGUGAGAAUCAAUGAGAAAGGUGAUGAGACAGGGGAAGUUAAGUCAAAGUGAAUUCAGAUACAAUAUGAUUAUAUGACUAAGUACUAUAAGGAAUGUUGCUUACAAGGACAUAAUGAGGAUACUUGUUGGAACAUUCACCUAGAAUUAUUUGAAGCUAAGAAGGAGGAGGAAGACAAACAGAAUCAGUAGAGGAGUACAAUAGCAACAAAGAUACAAAACUCUCAUUUUUAGGGCAAACAAGAUAGAGGAAGGGGUACUAACAUGCAGAAACAAGAAUGGGUGACAAGGAAAAAUAAAUAUAAGAAAGAUAAGUAUGGACACAUAGAAGGGGAGAUAGAUUAUAAGGAUGACAAUCCUUUUGAUGCUCUUAGAGAUGAAGAGGAAAAAGAGAUGAUGAAAGACAAUCCAGAAGAUACUCAGAAUAAUGUACAAACGAAGGAAUGAGUCAAUCAAGUUUUAAGCAAAGGUGAUGUGCGAUCCUAUGCUAACACAUUUGAGGCUUUUAACUCUAAAUAAUUGUAAGGUCUUAAGCAAAUUUAGUUGUUUUUGAUUAGUUUACUUUAAUUUUUGCAGUAAAUGUUGAGAUGUGGGAGAACUAAAAAUAAUGGAGAAAAAGGCUAAAAAGUGAAGUAAAAUAAAGGACAAGUGUGGCUGACGGCGUUCAUGAUAAGUCGUCAGCCUGGUGAUAAGUUGUCAAGGAUGCCGUCAGCCUUAAAUAGAGAAUAGGAGUUAAAGACAUUUUUUUGACGACAUUCGAGAUAAGCCAUUAGGUUGGUGAUAAGGCAUCAACGUCGUCGUCAGCCUUAGGCAGCAAGAGCCAAAAUUGCAGAGGAACUGACAACAUUAGUGAUAAGCCAUCAGGUUAGUGAUAAGGCAUCAACAUCGUCGUCAGCAUUAGACAGCAGAAGCCGAAAGUGUAUAGGAGCUGACAACAUCCGUGAUAAGCUGUCAGACUCCUGAUAAGCUGUCACAGAUGUCAUCGUCUAUUCUGAGAAAAAGCUACAACUUUAAUUUUAUUUCCUUAUUUAGGUUGAACUAUUUAAAGCUUUGUUUCAGGGUUUUCUAGAGGAUUAUUCAUUCAUUCAUCAUCAUCAUUAUUCAAAAAGAGAGUUCGAUACUUUGAGUCUUGGAGAAUAUUUUUCGAUAUUUGUUUCUCCAUCUUUUUGGAUUCGAACAAUACAACUAUUUUGGGGAUUUUCCUUGGUGAUCUAAUCUAUGAUUCACUAAUUAUUAUUUAUCCCUAUAAGUUAAUCUUCUCAAUUAUGAAUUCAGUUAUGUGUUUUGGUCUUUGCAUUAUGAGUGGCUAAACUCCGUUAACCUGAAUUAUGGGAUCUAGGAUUAGGUCAUGAUGAUGUGCUAAACACUUAUGAUUUAAUAGGUGUUAGGAUUUCUUGAUAAUUUUGAGAUUUUAAUUAACAUCUGUUGGUUGCAAAUAGUAGACACACGUACUUUGAUUUUCUUGAGAAAGAAAUCACGUACAAUAAUAAGUAAAUUAUCAAUAGGGACUCAGAAAUACUUCAUUUUAUAAUCAGUGCUGUAACAAGGUUGAUUAACCUGAGGUAAUAUCUGGGCAGUGAAUAGCAAUUUCCUAAGUCUGAGAAGAUUAGGAAAUUAGAUGCUUAAAUAGGUCGAGAGAUAUUUGAGCAUAUCAUCGAUAAAGAUAGCUUGUUAUCCUAACCACCGUGAGAAUCUUGAGUCACCUUUAGCAUCUGUCAUGUACCGUAAGCCCUAGUGAACAUAUUUCUGGUUAUUUUAUAAAAUAUUGGUUACAAACAUCAAAAUUAAAGUGACAAACAAUCAUUUAUGAAUCUAAAACCCCCAUUUUAGGAAACAUUAAACUAUUAGUGAACAAAAUUGCAAACAACUUGAGUUCACACCAUAUUUCCUAUGGGAUUCGACCCCAACCUAGUUGGGUUUUAUAUUGACAAUGAUCGCUUACACCUAUUCAAGAGUGUAGUUUGAGCUUUAUCAAAAAUGGUGCCGUUAUCGAAGAAUACGGUUGAAAACUGAAAGUUGUGUUCUCUAAUUGACUGUUGGGUGGGUUUCCUAGAUUUAUGUUUAUUUGUUGUUUUUGUUUAUUGUAGGUUUCUUGUUGUUUAUGCCAAACAUAAGAAGUUCUGGAGAACUAUUUUUACCAAUUAAUUUGGACCCUCAGCUGAUCGGGAGAAUGGCAGAAUAGAAAGAGGCUGACAGACUGGCAGCCUUGGCUAGGGCUCAGGUGAACAUACAGAACCAGGGUCAAAAAGUACAUCACCCAAACCUUGAUGAUGAAGACUUGGGUGAUGAGGAAUUGUUGAAUCCUCAAAACCCAAGGCGAGCUGAGAAAAUUGCUGCACCAGUGCAGCGAAAAUUUAAUAGAAACCGUCCAGUUAGAGGAAGGUAUGGUCAAUAGCCUAUCCAUUACGAGGUUGAUGAAGAUGACAAAGGAAUAGAUGGAGCAGGUGCGACGGGUGCUAUCAUUCCUCCACCGUUAGCACCUGGUGCAAAAUUCAGCAUAAAAACUACCAUGAUCCAACUCCUGAAUCUGAAGGAGUUGUUUGGAGGCCUUCUUGGUGAUGAUCCGAACAUGCACUUAGUGAACUUUAUCACCAUUUGCAAAUCUUUUGAUAAUUCGGGAGUGAGCCAGAAUGUGAUCCGACUGAGAUUGUUUCCAUUGUCUCUGUCUAGGGCGGCAACAAUAUGGUUAAAUGAGCUGGUGCUCGAUUCUAUAACCAACUGGAGACAGUUGAAAGAGGCGUUCGUAGAACAGUUCUUUCCACCCUCCAUAAGGGUAAAGUUGAGGGACGAAAUCAAUAUCUUCAGGCAGCUCCCGACUUAAGCAUUACAUGGAACUUGAGAGAGAUUCAAGAAGAAGAUGGCACAAUGUCCAAACCACAACAUGACGGACUUGCACUUGAUGGAGACUUUGUACAGAGCUUUUAACUCUAUGACAAAGACAAUUGUAGAUAAUGUUGUAGGUGAUUCAUUCAUUUACCUUUAUUUUCAAGAUGCUUCAGACAUGCUGAAUAGAAUGACCAAACAGAGUUGGGCUUGGCAUACCAGGGAUUCUGUGGUAGCUAGCCUGACUGUUUCUAGUGGUAUAACUAUAGAGUAGCACAGAAGUGAUGAGGAGCGAGAUCAAGACAUGGCCACCUUAAAGACUCAGAUGGAGGACUUGCUGACCAAGAACUUACUGCCAGGCAAGACUGAAAAGGUUAAGGUUGAGGAAUCUCAGUGCACUAUUACUAUUGAUGCAGACAAGGAGGCAAAUUAUGUUAAUAAUCAGGGGGUUUCUAAGGCAAUAGCCAAGGGAAUCAAGGUUGGAACUUUUAUGACAAGCCUGAUUAUAAAGAUAGGAAGCAAGGAAACUGGAGAAGAAAUAAUGAUAGGAGUGGUUUGUAUGUUCCUCCUGGAAGUUGGGAUGUUGCAUCAACUAGAUCUGGCAAGAUGUCCAUGGAGGACAUGACGGAAAAAUUGUUGAAGGAAGUUGAGGCUACCAACUCGGGGGUAACCACUAUGAAGAGUGAAUUCUCUACCCUGAGUCAGUUGGUUAGUUCAUACUUUACUUCUAUCAAGCAGUUGGAGCAGUAGAUGAGCCAAAUUUUUGCAACCCUGAACCAGAUAAAAAGUGGUACUUUACCUAGUGAUACAAUUAAGAAUCCGCAGAAUGAUGACUCAUGUAUGGCAAUUACCACUAGGAGUGGUAAGAUCUUACCUGGCCCUUCUAUGGGAAAAUUUGUAGAUAGUGAGAUGGUUGUUGAUGAAUCCGAAGAAAGCAAACUAGUGGAGUCUAAGAAGCUAGAUAGUUCUGUUCAUGCUACGUAGAAAGAAAAAAAGAAGAAAGAGGAAGUGGUGUUGAAAUCUAUCCCAAGAUCACCACCUCUUUUUCCUCAACAAGUGAAGAAAAAGGCUGAUGAUGCAAAAUUCAGCAAAUUCAUGGUCAUGCACAAGCAAUUGAAAAUUAAUGUGCCUUUAGUUGAGGCACUUGAGCAAAUGCCAGGAUAUGCGAAGUUCAUGAAAGACCUUGUAACCAAGAAAUGGAAGGUUAGCCAUGAGCCGGAGGACAAUCUUCUCUAUUGUGGUACUAUGUAUACAAGGUCUUUAGUUUAGAAAAAGGUAGAUCUGGGAGCGUUUACCUUCCCGUGUACUAUUGGCCCCCUGAAGUUCACAAAAGCACUAUGCGAUCUGGGAGCCAGUAUAAAUUUAAUGCCACUGGUUGUGUAUAAGAAAUUGGGUUUGGGGGAUCCUAACCCAACAAAUAUACAGUUGGUAAUGGUAGAUAGAUCUGUGAAGCGGCCUAUGGGCAUACUGCACGAUAUUUUAGUAAAGGUAGCCGAUUUUGUUCUGCCUACUAAUUUUGUGCUCCUAGAUAGUGAAGUGGAUUUUGAAGUUCCCAUCAUCUUUGGUAGGCCAUUACUUGAAACUGGGAGAGUGCUAGCAGACAUAGAGUUGAACAAGCUAAAGUUCAGGUUUAACGACAAAGAAACACGCUUCAAAAUACACUCAUCCAUGACUCAGCAACAUAAUAUGAGUGUUUUAUCAAUCGUUGAAGUCUUCUAUGAUGAUGGUAAAGGGGUAUCAAUAGGUUGUCUUGGCGAAGUCUGAGUAGUCAAGACAACCAAGUCGUGUCGCGACAGUAAAUCAGGUGCUAUUGGGAGGCAACCCAAAGUUUUUAUGUUUAAGUGUUUUUACUUUUAUAAUUAGGAUUUAGUACAGAGAAGGUAAAAAAUGAGGAGGCCAGUUGAAAGGCCAGGACGACAUCUCUGAUAAGCCGUCCCAACUAUGAUAAGCUAUCAAAAAUGUCAUCAGAUAGGCCAAACUUGAGGCAACCUCUGCUUAGGGGUGAUGAUGUUUGUGAUAGGCUGUCAUACUUUUUGCUAGUUUUAAUUCUUUUCCUUUAGUUUAUUUCUUUCCUUAGUUUAUUUCCUACUGUUUUCAAAACACUUCAAGAAAACAAGUUUUCUUGUAUGUGGGUUUGCAAUUCACAAUCAAGAGAUUCUUCCUACUUCCUACUUCCUCUUGUGCGUAUAAUAAGAUUAAGGGCCCCCAUCAGAAACCUUAAAAUGGCACCAAAAGGAAAGAGCUCUAAAGCACCAAAGAAAGUGACCAAAGAAAGUGUAUGUCAUAGGCUCAUCGAUAAUGGAUCUGAUUAAGAGGAGGAGGAACCCCUGCUUAGGAAGCAAAAAGAGAAGCAAAGUCUGAAGAAACCUUCGCCACCUCCACCCAUUGAAGUGGAGGAUAGUGAUGAUAUUGAGACUUCAACACCACUAGAAAGUACAUAUUUUGAACAUACUACCUCUGAGCAAGAGGGUUCUGAAUAGCAUGAGUCUGACCAUGCUGAAUCUGAAGAAGAGGAACAGGAAGGGUCUGAGGGAACAACAUCUGGAUCCCCGUCCACUGAACAACAAGAUGAUGAAGAGUAUCCAUCUCGGGGAACACUUAUCAAAUGUAAGAACCCCAAAGUUCAAGCUAAUGCUAGGUGGAAAAUUCACAGGACAGAGAGCAUCUUCAUUGCUGGGCUCUGCAGAACUGAUAGAAGGAGUGCUAAGAGGCCAAUUCAGGAAGAAAAGAUUAUUAUCACCAGAGGGUUGAGCAGGUACCCUGGAGUGGAAUAGAAGUUCCAAGAGUAUGGCUUGGUAUGGACCACAACAAGAGGAGGUUUAUUUUUCCCUGCACUGUUUUGGGAGUUCUACGCAAACUACCAGGCUCAGUUGGAAAACAUGUGCAGGCUAAGUGAAAGAGUAGGAGACCGACCCUUAUUACAUAUAGUGCAGGUGAGGGGCGUAAGGGUUGAUGUCUUAGUCAUAACCAUUAAUAGGUUCUUGCAUGGUCCCAACUUCACUCCUCAGGCCACCGCACUAUCAGUCUAUGCGCUAAUUGGGAACCGAGAGAAACAACGUCUAUGGUUGGCUAACAUCAUAGUUGAAGGAGAACCAUCAUGGGUAAAAAACCCAAAUGAAAAAAUCUGUAAGUCCUCUUUGACGCUAGAGGCAAAUUUUUGGUGGGGUAUAGUGCGUGUCUGGAAAAUGCCCACUAAUGGAGAGAACAUUCUGGGAAAUGACUGAGCUAUUCUAGUGGUGAGCAUGGUGUAGAAACUUCCCCUAAAUUUCGGGGAAAUCAUUGCUGAAGAUUAGAAUGUCAAGAAUUGACACUGCUUACCUUUUCUUUGUCUUAUCACAAAGUUGGGCUGAUCUGCUAAUGUGCCAAAGAUUGCAAAGGUUGAUGAUGACAUUCCUACUUGAAAGACUCACAACCCCAUAUAGUAUGAUGAAAAUCAGCUAGGAAUAAGACUUGAUAGAGGUGCAGAGGUAGCAGCAGACCCUCUAGUUACAGAUGCCGGUGCAACACCUCAUGUGGAAGUGCAAGAUUCUAUGGUUGUGCAUCUAACUUCUUCAGCACAGGCAGGAUCAGUGCCUAAAAUUGAAGCCAGCCCUUCAAUUCCUAUAACAGCAGCAGGGUUUGCAUUUCAUCCAGUCAAUAUUCGAAAAGUGGCUAAAAAAUCCAAGUGUUGUGAGGCACAACUACAUGCUUUUGCCAAAUAGUUUGUUGCUGCAGUGGAAAAGAGAAUCAAGGUUGUCCUUGAGCCUUAUGUGGCUUUUCCUGAGUGGGUUACAGAUUAGGAGAAUUGAUUUGAUGCGCAGACUAAAGAAAUAUCAGGGGUUGAUCUUGCUAGAUUCAAAGCGGCAUUGGACAAGGUAAAGGUCGAUGUAGGGGUGUUGCAGCAACACUAAUUUAUGAUGCCAACAGGUCAGGCCAUGCAUGAAUCUAAGGAAGAAAUUCUAAUUCUUGACCUCACUGGAGACUCACCAAAGAAAAAAAAAAAGAAAAGUGAGAAAAAAGGUAAGGGAAAGGCAGAGAGGCCCGACAGUGAUGAAGAGCAAAAAAUAGAGAAGAGGGCAAGAAAGAAGAAGGAGAAGGAAGAUCUAAAAAGUUCAAAGAUUGAGUCCUUAGUUGAUAACGAGAAAUAGGAGGCAGCUAUCUGAGCUAGGGCUGUAGGUGCCUCAUCUAGCAGGGCUCCAGCUACUGUAAAGCCAGAUGUUCCCGAUGGAGAAAAGAUAGUAGAUGAUUCAGUAGCAGGGUUGGAGACCCAGGAUCCAUGUGCUUGAUUGUCUUCAGGUAUACCUUAACCCUUAGAGCAGUUUAUUUUCUAUUUUAAGUUGAGGGUGUAGGGUAGGUUGUUUUUGUAGCAUAUUUUGCAGAUAAUUAGGAGUAAUACAAGUACUUGAGGCAGUUAGCUUGUUUUGUGAUUCUUUGAGUACCUGUCCAGUGGUCUGAUAUAUUGUCUACUGUAUACAUUGCAUCCAUUUGUGACCAUUGUGCAUCUUUUUAUGGCAUUAGUCUGGCAACUGAAUAGCCUUUUUUAAACAAGUACAUGAACCAGAUAAGUAGUGAUAUGCAAGAUACUUGUGUUCCAUGUGUGUGUAAGGUCUUACUCAAUUCCCGUUGAGUGUUGAAUCUAGAACUUGCCCGGUUAGUCUUGCCAUGGUCAUAGGAUAUGAGUUCGGAAAGGAUCAUAGGCCAUUUUUUAUGAUUAGUCCACUUUUAGCUUAAAUGACCUUCCCAAUGUGAUUAAUAUCCCUUGAUCCAUGUUAGAGCCUAAUUAGCCUAUUUCUUUCUAUGACACCUCUCCCCUUACUGUUUACAUCACAAUGAACUUGUUUUGGCCCUGGUCCUCCUUAGAUACUGUGCACCUUGACUUAGGUAAACAGCCUAAGUUGAGGGUGGCUAUCAUAGGGGUGCAUGAUACAAAAUGAGUAUGAAGAGAGGAAAAAUAAAAUAAAAGAAUAAAAAGUUAUAUGUGGUGAAAAAGGAAUAAGAAAUGAGAAUGCUGUGUAAAAGAUGAUAAAAAGAUAAUAUGAUAAUUAAAAAGACCGCAUCCAUCUUGAGCAUGUGUGAUCAAUAAAAGAAAGGAAGAAAAGAAGGUUGAGAGUUGAAACCUCGAGAGUUUAUUGUAGUGUCAAGGAGGCAUAGUCACUCUAAAAUAUCCAUGAAUAUCAUAACAGCCCCUGGCAUAUGUUACAAGCUUAAGAAAAGCCCUAUAGUGAUCCUAACUGACCUGUUUGAAAACUUGGGUAUUGACUAUAAGGGCAAGCCUAUAAAAUUUGACAUGCAGUGUUUGGAACUUCAUUCUGAGAGUGAGUCUUGUUUUAUCCCUCUAUUUAUGUAUUUGAAUUCUGAUACGGGUGAAAAAGGGAUUUCUUUGUUGUGAGGGCACACUGUGUAUGUUGCUAGUCACUGACUUGUUUAGAUGAGUAUGAUCUUGGUAUGGCAUGGUUGUUAUUGCUAAAUUUUUGCCGUAUCUUAAUUCUUGUGAGCUGCAUGGUUGUUUUUCAAAACAUCAACAAUAAGCUUUAAAAUUGAGUGACCUUGGAGGUGGUGAAUGUAUUUUGAACUAGUAUGAGUAGUUAGCUGCCAAAUUCUACUUUCUAUUCUCGUAGUUAUGUUAUGGUUGCUUGAGGACAAGCAAUUGUUUAAGUUGAGGGUGUUGAUGUGUGAGCCUACGGUAACACAUUUGAGGCUUUUAACUCUAAAUAAUGGUAAGGUCUUGAGUUACUUUAGCUGUUUUUGAUUAGUUUACUUUGAUUUUUGCAGUAAAUGUUGAGAUGUGGGAGAACCAAAAAUAAUGGAAGAUAAAAGGCUAAAAAGUGAAGCAAAAUAAAGGACAAGUGUGGUUGACAACUUUCAUGAUAAGUCGUUAGCCUGGUGAUAAGCUGUCAAGGAUGCCGUCAGCCUUAAACAGAGAAUGGGAGUUAAAGACAUUUUUGUGACGACGUUCGUGAUAAGCCGUCAGGUUGGUGAUAAGGUGUCAACGUCGUCGUCAGCCUUAGGCAGCAAAAGCCAUAAUUGCUGUGGAGCUAACGACAUCAGUGAUAAGCCGUCAGGUUGGUGAUAAGGCAUCAAUAUCUUUGUCAACAUUAGACAGCAGAAGCCAAAAGUGCAGAGGAGCUAAUGACAUACGUGAUAAGCCGUCAGACUCCUGAUAAGCUGUCACGGAUGUCGUCAUCUAUUCUGAGAAAAAGCUGCAACUUUAAUUUUAUUUCCUUAUUUAGGUUGAACUAUUUAAAGAUUUGUUUUAGGAUUUUCUAGAGGAUUAUUCAUUCAUUAAUCAUCAUCAUUAUUCAAAAAGAGAGUUCGAUACUUGAGUCUUGGAGAAUAUUUUUCGAUAUUUCUUUCUCUAUCUUUUUGGAUUCGAACAAUACAACUAUUUUGGGGAUUUUCCUUUGUGAUCUAAUCUAUGAUUCACUAAUUAUUAUUUAUCCCUGUAAGUUAAUAUUCUCAAUUAUGAAUUCAAUUAUAUGUUUCGUUCUUUGCAUCAUGAGUGGCUAAACUCCGUUAACCUGAAUUAUGGGAUCUAGGGUUAGGUCAUGAUGAUGUGAUAAAUACUCAAGAUUUAAUAGAUGUUAGGAUUUCUUGAUAAUUUUGAGAUUUUAAUUAACGUAUGUUGGUUGCAAAUAGUAGACACACCUACUUUGAUUUGCUUGAGAAAGAAAUCAUAUAUAGUAGGAAGUGAAUUAUCAACAGGGACUCAGAAAUACUUCGUUUAAUAAUCAGCGUUGUAACAAAGUUGAUUAACCUGAGGUAAAAUCUGGACAGUGAAUAGCGAUUUCCUUAAUUUGAGAGGAUUAAGAAAUUAGACGCUUAAAUAGGUCGAGAGAUAUUUGAGCAUAUCAUCGAUAAAGAUAGUUUGUUCUCCUAACUACCGUGAGAAUCUUGAGUCACCUUUAGCAUCUGUCAUGUACCAUAAGACCUAGUGCACAUAAUUUUGGUUAUUUCAUAAAAUCUUGGUUACUAACAUCAAAAUUAAAGUGACAAACAAUCAUUUGUGAAACUUAAACUCCCAUUUCAAGAAACAUUAAACUAUCAGUGAAUUAAAUCACAAACGACUUGAGUUCACACCAUAUUCCCUAUGGGAUUCGACCCCAAUCAUGUUGGGUUUUAUAUUGAAAACAAUCGUUUACACCCAUUCAAGAGUGUAGUUUGAGUGUUAUCAAAAGGCAAAGACAGGGAAAGAUGCAUGAAGAAAAAAAAUUCUAAGGUAGAUAAAAAGCGGAUAAAAGACCAAAGAGAGGAUGGAAAUGAGAAGCAUGGUGAACACAAAGAGCCAUUAACAGGAGGUAAAGGAAAAUAAAAGCAGUCAGAGGAGUCAAUUAAAACAAAUCAGACUGCUGAACAUAUCAAUAAAGAUGAAAGAACUAUUGUAGUGUAUGAAGGGCAGACUAGGGAUAUAGUACCGUUAGCCAUAAGUAUGGAGAUCAAUAUGGACAAUGAGGAUUUAAGGAAAACUAUAAUAAGCUUCUCAAGAAGUGGUGAUCUGUCUCCAAAACAAAUUUAAAAAAUCAAGGAACAACAUUCUAAAAAUAAGAAUAAAGGUAGUGGAGACACAACUUUAGUUCAAGCAAAUUCGAGGUAGUCAAGGAGAAAAAUAACGAAACCACUCAAGUAUCAAUGAAUGUACUGAUUUGGAAUAUUAGUUCAGUGAACACUCAAAAAGCGUUCACUAGAUUAAUUAAUAUGCAUAAAAGAUAUCAAUUUUGUUUUAUUGGACUGAUGGAACCAUUUCAUGAUAAACAAGGGUUAGAAGUUUAUAGAAGAAAGUUGGAUAUCAAACAUGCAGUAGCAAAUAUUAAUGGAAAAAUCAUAGCCUUUGUAGAUGAAAUAUUGGAGGUGGAAGUUUUAAGAGAUGAAGAGAAGCAGAUUACAGUGAAACUAUAGAAUCAAUCACAGGAGAAGGAAAUAAUAGUUACUUUAGUGCAUGCUAAAUCUACUCAAGUUGAAAGAAUUUAGUUAUGGGAGAUGCUUUAUCAAAUAUCUCUUAAUAUGGAGUGUCUAUGGUUAGCAGGAGGCUACUUUAAUGUAAUCAUCAAUGAGGAUAAAGAAUUAGGAGGUUUUCCUAUUACAGAAGCUGAAGUCAAGAUUUCAAUCACUGUAUUAAUAUUUUUGGUUUGGAGGAUUAUGAUUUUAAAGGCAGUAAAUAUACAUGGUGGAAUGGGAGAACAAAUGAUGAUUGUAUUUUUAAAAGGUUGUAUAGGGUGUUAUUCAAAGAUAGAAUGCAAGAACUAUUUUCUAGAGUAGAAAUAGAGCAUCUGAUAAAUAGUGGAUCUGAUCAUGCACCAUUGUUAACUUCACAUAGCACAUCUACUGAAAGGAUAACCAAAAGCUUUAAGUUUUUGAAUUUUUGGUUGAAGGAGGAAUCAUUUAUGAAUGUUGUAUGGCAACACUAGAAAGUAGAAUUUAUAGCUAACCCUUUUAGUAUCUUCCAUCACAAACUCAAGAGGGUGAAGAAUGCAUUGACACAAUAGAGCAGAGAAAUUUCUGGGAACAUUUUUUAGGAGAUAAUUACUAUAGGAGAGGUGAUAGGAAAAGAUUGCAUGAAUCUCAAGCUAUAUUGAAAAAUAUUUACAUAGAGAGGGGGAAUUUUGGAGACAAAAAGCUAGAAUAGACUAGUUCAAAGAUGGGGAAAGAAAUAUCUCUCCCUCCAAAAGCAUGUUUUUUUACUGACGCAUAAAGUUUUUUCACUCUGUUGUUAAAUGUAGAAGAAGUUGACUUAGAGGGAAUAGAAUUCAAAAUGAAAAGGGGUAAUGGCUAGAAAAUUAGAAUGAUAUUGCUGAAGCAGCUGUGGAAUAGUAUACAAAUCAGUUUAAGAAGAGAGAUAGCCAACUGGAAUUGGAUAUCUUGGAUGAAUUGCCUACAAUUCUGAAUGAAGAAGAGAAUGAAUUACUGCAUAGUACUCCAACUAAAAAAGAAGUUCAGUAAGCAGUAAUGGGUCUUAAUAGAGAUAGUCCAGGAGGUCCUGAUGGGAUGACUUGGGCUUUCUAUCAAGAUACAUGGGAUAUUAUAGGAGAUGAUGUAUAUGAAAUGAUUCAAGCCUUCUUUUGUGGAGCUGAACUUCCACGAUUUGUGACACAUACAAAUCCUGCACUAUUACUUAAUAAGACUGUGGUUAGUGCUUUCUUUGAUCUAAGACCUAUUUUCUUGAGCAAUUUUGUAAAUUAGAUUUUCUCAAGGAUUGUGCAUGAAAGAAUAUAAACAACGCUACCUAGAAUAAUUUCCAAUAAGCAGGCAGGUUUUGUUCAACAGAGGAGUAUUAGAAAAUAUGUUAUUGGUAUAGGAAAUUAUCAGUGAAAUAAGGAAGAGGAAGAAGCCUCCCAAUUUGGUUAUAAAAUUGGAUAUGAUGAAGGCUUAUGAUAGAGUAGAAUGGAUAUUUCUUCUUAAUGUGCUAAAAAAAUUGCCUUUAAUGAGAAGAUGAUAGAUAUGAUUUAUAGAUUAGUGGAAAACAAUUGGUACUUAGUCUUGUUGGAUGGGCAAUCUAAAGAAUUUUUUAAAUCCAUCAGGGGACUUAAGCAAGGAGAUCCAUUAUCUACUUUAUUUAUUUUAGCUGCAGAAGUCUUGUCCAGAAAAUUGAAUGCUUUAAUAAAUGAAAAGGAGUUUAAGAGGUUUGGAGUUCCUAGGGGGAGUCCUAAAAUUAAUCAUCUAGCUUUUGUAUAUAACAUAAUUAUCUUAUGUAAGGCUGACAUUAGGACAAUGCAAAUGGUUGCUAAAACAUCAGAACAGUAUGAACACGCUUCUGGUCAAAAGGUAAAUAAAGAAAAGAGUGUCAUAUACAUGCAUCACAGUGCUUCAGGUGGAGAUGUGGUAACUACUGAGAUAGUUACAGGAUUACUGAGAAAAAAUUUUCUUUUACAUAUUUUGGUUGCCCUAUUUUCUAUAAAAGAAAAUAGAAGAAGUAUUAUCAGCAUUUGAUUCAUAGGAUCAGUUCUAAACUUCAAGCAUGGAAGGGUAAGCUACUAUCCUAUGAUGGAAUAGCUAUUCUGAUAAAACAUAUGCGACAAAUUAUUUUUAUUCAUUAUUUAUUAGUGAUGAAUCCACAAAUUAAUGUUCUUAACCAGAUUCACAAAAUUAUGGCUCAAUUUUUCUGGAGUAGCUGUAGAAGUCUAUGUCUACUUGAGAAAGAAGGAGGUUUGGGGUUUAGAAUCAUACAUGAUGUAUUAAUGGGAUUAUUUUGUAAACUUUGGUGGAAGUUUAGAAUAAAACAUUCAAUAUGGAGGGAAUCUAUGCAAAAUAAAUACAACAAAAGAAUGCACUGUAAUUUGAUAAUGUGAAAGAUUGAAGGGGGUUCACAGGUGUGGAAAAAGACAUUAUAAGCCAAGAAUUUAGUUGAACAUCAUAUUUGAUGGAAUAAUAGAAAAGUAAAUUCAUCAUUUUAUCAUGACAAUUGGACUGGACUAGGAGAUUUGUACACCAUUAUUGGAGAGGCAGAAUGGGAUUAUAAUUAUAAGUCUCUACGAAGUUAUUAAGAAUAAUGAGUGGGAUGUUGAAACAUUACAAUAAUUACUCUCAACUAAAUUAGUGGAUUAUAUUGUUCAGAAUGUUAAAUCACUAUGAUCAGAGGGGAACACAGAUAAGCCUUUCUAGAUGCUGGAUUCUAAAGGGAAUUUCACACUAAAAACUGCUUGGCAAUAUGUAAGACACAAAGAGGAAUAUAACAAAAUUUAUAAGUGGAUGUGGUGAAGGGUUUACCAUUCAAAAUUUCAUUUCUUAGGUGGAGAUUGUGGAAGUUGAAACUCCCAGUGGAUGAUAGGAUAAGAAGAUGGGGGUAGAAGGCCCUUCAAAAUACUGGUGUUGUGCUAAUCCACAACAAGAGACUAUCGAGACUAUGGUGCAUGUGUUUCUGAGGAGUAAUACUACUAACAUAACUUGGUCCUAUUUUUGUUCUUUUGCAGGUCUUAACAUAGAAGGACUAUCCCUAAUAGAAGUAAUUAUGUUAAGGUGGGGAGCAGACAACAAUAAGAGUAUCAGACCGUACUAUAAGUCGUUGCCAUGCAUUAUAGUUUGGGAGUUAUAGAGAAUAAGGAAUAUCAGUAAAAAUGAGGGCAAGAUGAUUUCAACUAAGGGAGUUAUAUACAAUAUGGUCAGAUUAAUGCAUAUGUUGCUAAAAGUUAGGAAUCCAAAAAUGACUUUUCAAGGAAACUGGCCUGGUAUGUUAAAGGAUUUGGAAAGGUACCAAUCAAGAGUCAAGGUCAUAAAAGUAAUCUGGGAAUUUCCACCACCAGUAUGGGUCAAGUAUAAUACUGAUGAUCCAUCAAGAGAGAAUUCAGGUCCUAGCUCAUUUACCUUUUGUAUAAGAAACAAGGAGGGUGACUUAAUUUAUGCAAAGGAAGCUAAAAUGAAGGACACUACAAAUAUUUUGACGGAGGCUACAACAAUGUUGGAGGCUAGCAUGCAUUGUAGCCAAGUUGGUUAUGAUCUGGUUAUCUUUCAAACUGAUUUUCUAUUAAUUCAAAAGGUAUUAAUAGGUUAAUAGGGAUGUCCUUGGAGCAUAAUAGAAAUUGUGGAUGAAACUAAAGCUAAUAUUUAAGGAAAGCAUGCAGUAAUACAAGUCAUAUAUAGGAAAGGAAAUAAAUUAGCUAACUAUCUGGAAAAUCAUGUGUUAAAUUUAGGUAAUUGUAGCUAUGAACAUUUUAAGAGAAUGAAAAAGAGAGGAAGGAGAAUCAUCAAUAGUGAUAAAUUACAGAGCCCAUAUUUAAGAGUUUCAUCAAUCAAGGGAUGGAAGGGUUGGGAAGGCUAAAGCAUAAAGUUCUUUACAUAGAGUUAAUUUACAAAGUCCUAAACGCCAAUAAGAAAUAUGAAAUGCUAUUUAGCCUAGGUAUCUGAAACCUUCAAAAAGGACUUGGCAAAAUGGGAGGGGCUCAGAUCGAAUCAAAUACUUUAAACCUGAAAUAGGUUUCUAUCACUAUAGGGCUGAAGUGUGAAGCUUCCCGUGCAAUUCACUACAGUUCCAUCUACACGAAAAGUACAAUGAGAAGAAGAAUGAAUGAAGAUUUUUCAAAAGCAACAGAGUACUUAGCCAGUGAAAGAUACCAAUUUCUUGGACAAACACCCUUAACAAAAGGAGAAACCACAACCAUUCACAAGAGAACAUAGCUGAAAAUGGGUUACUGUAAGCAGAGGAUUCUUAUGAUGUCUAUCAAAAAGAACAUGAAAUGUAAAUUAUUCUUGAAAGUUGAUGAUGGAUGAGGAACAGUGUUAGUAACCCAUAAGAGGAUAAAGAAGAAGCUGGAGUUGAGAUACGACGCAAAGGAAUAAGGGAAUAAAGGGAACCCUAAAACUUUCUUAUAUGUAAUAAGUGGGUAUGGGCUAUGAAUUGGGAGAUUUGGGCUGCCAGAUACUUUUUUUUGUGUGUUUUUG
rnacentral:lncRNA from 1 species